rnacentral:lncRNA from 1 species
AACUCAUUUCUGCUUGAACUGUGGGGUGGGUUUGGGUGUCUGUUCAAUCUCCAUCACAGGCUUGACCCAGCAAUUACAAAACUGGUCGAUGCAACUACAAAAACUGGUCGGUAUAACUUCUCUUUUUUCUUCAAGCUUUAUUAUUUAUAAUUUUAUGAUCUUUUGCUUAUUUGAUUCUAACUCGUGAAAAUUUAAAACAAACCUAUAAUCUAUACAUAAAGAAAGUGUUUGGUGGUAGAAGGAGAAGAAAAGGAGCAUAAAUGACAUCAUAUAUGUAUUCAUGUUUUGGUUUCUAUGCAAAAACAAGAUAUGGAUAAAGUAAAAGAAGAAUAGAAAUAGGAUGAGAAUUAAGGAUGAGAACAGACGUCCUUGAAAUUUUACAUAUGAUAUAGAAUAGGAAUCAAUUGCUUUCUUUUUCCACCCACAUAUAGUUUCCAAAAACAGGAAGAAUAAAUCAAACCCCACUAACAAAAUCUUCAAAAAUUGAAGGAUAUAAAUUGAAUUACUAUUUAUUUUGUUUAAUAAGAAAGAAUUCUUAAUUUUGUUAACCAAUUGAUUUUCCUUUUUUUUUCUUUCUUAAUUUUAUUUUAAGAAUGUUCCAAAACGAAAAGGAAAAAAGAAGAAGUUUGUUUUUAAAAUCAUUAUUUAGUUUUUGAAAAGAGGAGUGAUUUUUCUAUUUCAUAAUAUAGGAUGAUUUUAGUAAAUGAAGUUGGAUUGCGGUCCAAUAGUUAGAAUUUCUACUAACACUCUCAUGCCCAAUUAAUUAAUAUAACGUCUUUUUUCUCUUAUUUUUUUUAUUUACAAAUUGAAUGGCAAAUAAUGUGAAUAUGUGAUAAUAUUUUCUUGUUUUACACUUCAACAUCAAUUUUUUUUUCAUUCUAAGAAGAAUAUUAUGAAGUUAUUUAAAAAAUGUCAAAAUUCAAAUUCAAAGGUAAAAUUGAUGGAAUACAUGAAUAAAAUUGUUUUUUUUUUAAUAAAAGAAACUUAAAAAUCACACCUGAUCUCUUUGUUAGGUAAUUAUGAUGGGUUAUAAUUUCCUUGAUAAUAAUAAGGUGUAUAGCAACCGUUUAUAAAAAUUGUAAACAUACACGAUAAAUUUCUAUUUUUGAUAGACUCUCAUGGUCUAUAUCAUACAUCAAUAUUUUAGAAGACUUUUAUUAUGAUAGAUAUGUAAAUUUUGCUAUAUUUAUAAAUUUUAAAUAUGUUUGUUAUAUAUGCUAAUGAAAUGUCUUCCAAAUUAAGGUAAUUUUGGAUUUAAUUAUGUUUAAUUUUGAACUAAUUGAAUGAGAGUUAUUUGAUUACUUGGAAAUCGAAAUUAAUUAAAUAUUUGUUUAGAUGAAUAUUUAAUUAAUUAAAGGAUUUGAAGUUUCGUGUUUUUGUUGGUAAUUAGAUUAAGUUAUAUAUAAUAUAUGUGGUUUUAAUUGAAGUUGAGGAUCUUAAGAAUUUUGGUUACUUAUACAUAUUUAUAUUUAUAUAUGCAUACUUAAAAUGGGAAAAGUGAAAAUAAUUAUAUUUGUGAGUAAAAAUAUAAUUAUAUGUUGAAAAGUAAUUAUUUUGGGAUGGGAGAAAAGUUGAUUGGAUAGAAAGUAAACGAGGAAAGAGAAGGAUUUGAUUUAUUUAUUUCGGGGUUUCUACUAAAAUUUUAAGUAUCCUUCCUGAUAAUAAUCAGGUAGUGCUAAAAGCAUUCUAUUGACAAGCACUUCGGUAAACUUUGUGUUUACGACAUUAUAAUUGUAAGACUAUUAGUAAGCUUGGUGAUCGAGUGUUAUAGAAUUUUAGCAUAUUGUUUAUUCUCACAUUAGAUAAUUAGAAUUUCAUUGAGAUAAAAACUCUUAAAAUUUUAGUGUUUAAAUUAAUUUUAGAAAAUACUCUUUAAGACCCAAACUGUAAAAACAACGUAUGAUUAUUCUCACUACUCUUAAUUUUCUUUAGUUAACAGUCAAGAACUUCAAAUAGUAAGUAUAGAAAGAGAUAUUCAUAAUUGGAUCAUAACAAACCUUCAAAGACUAUCGAAUCAAAACUACGUAACAUUUAGUUCCAAUAAAUAAACUUUUCGAAGUCAUUUCUUUAUUCUCUAGACAAUCAAUUCUUCAACAUAAGGGAAAAUGUAAGUUUCUUCAUUAGGUUUAGCUCAGGUUGCUAUAAAGUAUUUUUAUAGGAUUGGAUUGGAUACUCCUAUUCUUUUAAUAUUAAGAGAUAAAAGAAUAUAGAAACUUUUCAAAUUCUGUACUUUUUAUAGUCAAAUCAAAAUUUGAAAAUUGACUAGUUUACUUUAAUUGUUAUCUAAAUUUUAUUGCUUCAUCACUUGAUCUAAAUAUACUUCAUUCUUUAAUGUUUGAUAUUAAAAUUUUAAAUAUGGAUUAGGAACCGCAAACCGAAUCCACUAUAGGGAUUUUUUUGGAUACAUUAUAAAUUGAUGCACACAAAUUUUUAGAACUUCUUAUAAAGAGCAAACUUUUCUCAUGAAAGUCAAUACCGAAUAUUCAAAUAUCUUCACACCAAGAGUAUUAUCUUGGAAUUAAAUUACUCAUAAUCCUAGAUGGAGUUUAGAAGAUGCUUUAAAACCAUCUAUUGAAAGUUCAAAAUUGACUCAAAUGGUUGAAAAAGAGGAUAAAAGUGUAGAAAUAUAGUUUCAAUCUCAAUAUGCCAGAUUAAAACUUUCUAGAUUUUCUACUACCUAUGAACUUGCUUGUUCAAGUACUUCUAUGAAUAUUCAAGGAGUAUGAUUCAAUAAUACAAUACCGCAACCUUUUUAUGCAAAAGAAAAAGACCUAACUUUAUUUCCAACUCAUUCGUGUGAUAUGCAAAAUGUUAAUCUAACUAAAUGUUAUAUGCAAAAUGUUAAUCUAACUAAAUGUUAUCUCCAAAAGAAUUUUUUUUUGAAUCUUUUAACAAAAUUGAACAAAAUGAAACAUGUGAAGAAUAUUAUAAAACUAUGGAAAAGUUGUAAACAAAUAUACACAAAUAUACACUUUUUUCAAUGGAUGAAACAUAAAACCUAUUAUCAAAAUCCUACGUUCCCAAUACAUCAAACUAUCAAUACAAAUUUAUAAUCACCAACUUAGGAACUUGAAGAAAUUAAGUUUCAAAGCAUUUAAGAUCAAGAAGUAGUAGCUUCUCCUUUUAAAAUGAAACAAAAAGUUUAGGUUUAAUCUUGCAUAUUGAGAUUGGAAUUGUAUUUCUACACUUCCAUCCUUGUUUUCAACAAUUUGAGUCAAUUUUGAAUUUUCAAUAGAUUGUGUUAAAGCAUCUUCUAGACUUCAAGUAGGAUUAUGGGUAAUUUGAUUCCAAGAUAAUUAUUUUUGGAGUGAAGAUAUUUGAAUGUUCGGUAUCGGCUUCCAUAAGAAGAGUUUGAUCUUUAGGAGAAGUUCUAAGGAGAUAAAUUUGUGUGCAUCAAUUUAUAAUGUAUCCAAAAAUCCCUACAAUGGAUUUAGUUUGUGGUUCUCAAUCCAUAUUUAACAUUUUAAUAUCAAACAUUAAAGAAUGAAGUAUAUUUGGAUCAAUUAACGAUACAGUAAAAUUUGGAUAACAGUUAAGGUAAACUAGUCACUUUUCAAGAUUUGAUUUGACUUUAAAUUGUACCGAAUUUGAAAAGUUUUUAUGUCUUUUAUCUCGUAAUAUAAUAUUAAGGGGUCGUUUGAGGAAUGAAAUGAAAGGAAACGAAACGAACAAAAUAAAUGAGUUUAGACAAAUGCAAAAAAAAAAAAAAAGUACAAUUCUCGUUUGUAUUUGGUUUACAAAAAAACAUUCCAUAAGCAUUUCUUACACAUUGAAGAAAAAUAUAAUUCAAUUUGUUUCUACGGGGUGCCGUAGAAAAAUAAAUAUUUGCCAUAAAUUAAAGAAAAAACAUAUAUUUUUUUAAUGUAUUGGAUUUACGGAUCAAAUUGAACACAAAUUAAAAAUUAAAUAAUACAAUUUAUGUGAAUUAAAUUUACGGUAUAAAUUUUAUAAACAUAUUUUGCACAACCACAAAAAAUUAAGACACUUGAUUUAAUCUUACAAAAGAAAGAAAAAAUUACCGUACAAAUAAGAAAAAAUACUCUACUUUUGAAAAUAUAUAAAAUAUAUUAGGUGUACGUUACAAGUAAAAAAGUAUUUAUACAAAAUCAACCAAAGAAAAUCAAUACAAAUUUUUUGUGAACGGUUAGAUUACGAUACAACCUAACUAAAAAAAUGAAUUUGAAUACAAUUUUUGGUUGUAAAGGUUUUAUGGUACGAAAAAUUUACACAAACGCAAAAAAUAUUAUCACAUUUUUCAUUUUGUAUUGGCUUCACAAAAAAAAAACAAUAAUUUCUUUUUCAGAAAAAAAAAAGUCAUAAUUCUUUUCCCAAAUAAUCCUUCUCCCAAACAAGAAUUAUAAUAAUCUCUCACAAUUCUUUCACUUAAUCAUUCCCCAAAAACAAAGAUUAUAAAUACUUCUGCAUAUUCCUUUCACUUAAUCCUCUCUUUUUCUUAUUCAUUUUUCUCCUUAUUCCUUUCCUUCCUCCAAACAGCCCCUAAAAGAAUAAGUAUUAAUACUUUCAAUAAAUGUAUAACUUUUGAUGCAAAAUAUUAUUUUGCGUUUAAUCUUUCUUGUAGCAAGUCUGGUUCCUCGUCUUUAACCUCACAUCCUCUCCCUCGCUUCCCACCUUUCUUUCUUUCGUUUUUUUCAAAUUGAAAUCUUAAAGCAAAUAAAAAAAAACGAUAUUGAGUAUAAAGAAAAAAUAAAUUAGGACCAACAUAUUGGUGUUGACAUCCAUGAAAAAAACUUCAAAGAAAAAGAAAACAUGUCAAACUUGAAGCACUAAGAAACUUGCAUGUAGAUCAAUUGCAUCAAAAAUGACAUUUUUAUUUUCUUGAAGAUAACGACUUUUUGAGUUCUCUGAUAAACAUCAAUAUACAAUAUAGUCUUUAAUUAAAAACUAAAAUCCUAAAUUAUUAAGAGCAAUGAUUUUAUUUAGAAGUUUAGUCAUCCAAAUAUAGGAACCAUUAUCAUUACAUUAGAGACUUAACGAAAUCUUAACCAGAUGAAUCAAAAUAAGUGGAAAUGAAAGUAGAAUGAGAUGAAUUAGGAUAUAGUGAUGUGCAUAUAUUGCAUAUAUGGUAGAGAAGAUGAACAUAAAAUAAUUUAGAUUGUUGAGAUAUGAUUGUUGGAUGGUUAUGCUAUCCAAAUUGGUUGAAGGGGAAGAUCCCAAGACAUAUAUAUUUUCAUAUUUUUAUGCGAUUGAAGUUUGUAUUUUAAUGAACAAUCUUUUUUGAACGGUCACUUUCCUUGGGAUUGGCUUUCCAUUUCUCAUCCUCAACAAUAACGUCACCAUUAUUAUUUAUUACCCUACUUUAUUGUCCCACAUUUUUUAUGUUUCUUCGUCUUUUCUAAUUUUAUAUUUUUGGCAUUACUUCUAAUUUUGGACCCUCUUUCCUACUUGCAUCGGUUUUCUUGAAAAAGAAAUUUUGUUUUCUUUUUUAUUCUUUUAUUUUGAACCCGAUUCAAUUUUAUAUCGGGUAAAUCUGUCAACUUUCAACGAUAUAUUAUUAUGGAUCUACUUAAUAUAAAUUUGUAUUUAAACAAGAUGUAGAUUUCAAUGACCUAGAGAAUACAAAACAAAAAAGCUAUUACGCUUCAUUUUUUUAUAAGAAUAAAUCUUAAUUUAUUUGUUAAUGAUUUGAGUGUUUUGAAGUGUCUAUUAUGAAGAGCUUCGAACGAUAAUGUGAAUGCAAAUUUAAUCACUCAAAUUAAAGUUGAAUGAAAAAGAUAUAUGUAAAGUGACGUUAUAAAUGAAAAAAAAAAUUAUGAACGGAUGUGAUAAAAUUUAACAUUGUUUUAUGUUUGUUUCUAAUGAUUGGUUUUGGACAUGGGGUGGAGUUUUGCUUUUUGUUGAAUUUUACGAGAAAUUUUUAAAAAAUAUAUAUAUUGUUAUUUUUUUUUUGUGUUUAAUGGCUACUUAGGUUUAAAUCUCUAUCAUUUAAUUUUCUUUUACCAACAUUCAAUGACUCGAAUUGAAUUCGGUUUUCACCCAAUUUUCUUUCUUUUAAAUUAAAACAUAUUUUCAUCUUCUCCAAAAUUUAAAACAAAUUUCAUCACUUUUAAUCUUCCAUCAUUUACAAAGCUUCCAUCGUUAUUCUCUUAAAGUUAUCAACUUUUCUUUCCAUCUAGUUCUUAAAAAAGAUAUAUUAUAUUGUGAAGAUUGAUUUGUUGAGUGAAUAAAGUUGUAAAUCCACUAUUUUAGAGUGUUUGUCAAGUAAGUUUACUAAUUAUUCAAAACUUAUUGUAAGUUGUUAUUGUUGGAGAUGUUACGAGUCUCACGUUGAAAAAAUCAAAUAAGACUCACACUUUAUAUAUAGUAUAGAUGAACUACUCCUCUCAUUAUUAUAUUGUAGUGGUGUUAGAUUCUAAUGACACAUGGAGGGAGUUUAGGAAAUUGAUGUGGGCUGGUUGGAGAGUGGAUGUGAGAUGAUAUGUGGAAGUUGAUUAAUGGGCUAUCUUAUGAGUUUCACCUCUUCCCUUAAUUGAUGAAUUUUCAUUAAUUCAAUUGUUUGGCAUGCUAUUAGAUUGAUUAAAUUGAAGGUUUAGGAGAAAUUGUUAAUAUGUGACAUUAAAUCAGCAAUGAUUCCUUAAGAAACAAUAGGUUAGUUAAGUUUUCACAAUGAGCUAGUAUUGUUUCUAUCAACCUAGCUAUGGAGAAAUCAAACGGAAACGUGGAAAUUAAAUGUUCAUCCUAACGUAAUCUCUAGAACUUAAUGCUGAUAGAGAAGGAUGUUGGGUGUCGGUUUGAUUUUAACAUGUUUAACUAAUUAGACCAUUAGGAUAAUUGGUUGGAGUUUCGAUUAUUAAUCAUUGAUUUUAACAUGUUUAACGGAUUACAAGCAUAAUUGAACUAAUCUUUCGUUCAUCUCUAUGGUUGGAUCCUGAACUUGCCACUUUGCUAGUAGUAGCUUAUGUUAAGUUUGAUGAAUUAUAAAAUUUGUUUGAUUACGAAGGAAGUUUGUAGCCUACAACAAACAUAAACUUCUUCUAUUCAAUAAAGAUCACAAUUUUGCAACUUGUGAAGAGGGUAAAAAAAAUUGUUUCCUUUGAUUUUCAUAAAGAUAUAAAGAUAUUUGGAGAACUCGCGGGUAAAAACGUGAUGUAAAAAGCAAAAAACAAAAAACAAAAGAUCUACAACAUCUAUUUUGUUUUUCUUUUUAACAAAACCCAAAAUUUUCAUCUUUCUUCGACGCAAAAAAAAAAAAAAAAAAAAACAUACAUGUGCCAGUUGAGUUAAGUUGAUGUUGACAUUUUUUUAUCAUCUUACGAGCUUUUCUUUUAUAUAUAAUUUUUUUAUUACACAUAUUUGCUUACAUUUUGUUGUUUAUCUUUUUUCUAUUAUUAUUUUAAUUUAAUUUUAAACUUUAUUUUUUUUUAUAAAUUUAUCUUUAAUUUCUUUAUAAUAAGCAUUUUUGUUUAAUUUUCUUUUUUCUCUCAUCAUACUAUUUGAUUAUUGUCUCUUUAAUAUAUUCUCUUUUUCAAUAUGAUAUUUAAUAUUAUAUUAUUUUUUCAUAUUUGUUUAUUUUUCUUUUCUUAUUUCUCCAAUUUUCUUUUCUUAUAAUUAUUUCUUUAUUUUACAUUUUUAUCCUUGUAAUAUGCUUAUUUAAAUAUUUUGUAUUUGCUUUGGGGUGAAUCUAAUAUUUCUUACUAAUAGUUGUUUAAUUAUUUUAAUAUUUUCAAUUAAUUUCUUUUUAAAAAACAUUCGACGAUAAAAUCUAGGAAAUUUGGAAGUUCGAAUUUUUAAAAUUUUCAAGGUGAGGAAAUCAAUUCUUUGGAAGUUCAAGAUCAAUCUCCAAUAGAUCUUUGGAUGCUCUAAAACAUACAUAACAUUUUUUUAAAGUAUAUCACACUAUUUUUAUCUUUUCGUAUGAUUUGUAGAAGUCACUAUAACAUUUUUUUAGAUUUAUUGUAGUUAAGAUCCAUCAUUCAUGGCCAACAAUCCAAUUUCUAUCUAAAAAAUGUAUUUGACCCAUGCAUAUGUAUACUUCUAUCGACAAAUUUAGUGUGUGGAGAAAUUUUCUUUUUGCCGACAAAAACCAUUUAGUGACAAAUAGUUUCUGCCUACGAAAGAAACGUGGCCAGAAAGUCAUUUUGUUGACGUGAUGAUGAUCGUGGACAAAAAUAUCUUUCUGUCGACGUGUUUUUUGUGGUCAGAAAAUCUAUUUUUACGAACGUAAUGAUGAUCGUGGACAAAAAUAUCUUUCUCCCGACGUUUUUUCGUGGCUAGAAAUGUCUUUUCUGCCAACGAUUUAAUUGGCGCGGGCAGUUUUGUCGACGUAAUGUCAACAACUUGGACAAAGGAAACGACGACGGUGUUUCAGCCAUGAAAUAUGUCCACGCAAAAAAAAAACGUCAUCAUAAGCUUUGCCCACGUUUUUCUGCGUCGACGAGGACAAAUAUUCUUGUAGUGAUGUGCUAUUUUAUGUUUGCAUAAAUUAUGAUACAUCUUAACUCUUGUUUUUACUUAUCCAUUUUUCCUAUCAAGUCUCAUUUUGAUUUUUAUUUAAAAUUUAUAAAUUUUCUAACUAAAAUUUUCAACGUUUUAAAGUUCUUAUAGUUUAAAUUUUUUUUAAGUUUUAAAAUCUUCCACAGAACUCUUUUCUUUAAAUCAUUUAGAAUUUUUUUCUUUUAAAUUUGUACUUUUUUUUUAUAAUGUUUUUCAAUCGUUCAAAAUUUAAUUUAUGAUUUCAUAAGGUUUCCUAAUCAAUAUUUUCUAAUAACUUAUAAUUAUUUUCCUUAAAGCAAAUGUUACGACAAAAUCUAAAAAAUUUGGAAAUUAUAUUUUCUAAAAUUUUUGAGAUGAGAGAUCGCAUCUUUGAAAGUCUUAGAUCACAUCUCUAGAAAACAUCUCUAAACUUCCAAAAUUUACGUUAAUACUUUUCAACUCUAAAAAGACAAUCUUAUUGUUAGUAUGGAUCACAACCAUUUGUAUAUAAACCUAUCACCUCCCUCUUCCAUCUCUUCUCUUCUUUGCUACAAUCUAUAUGACCUAACAUUUUCUUAUUUCAUCUUCAUAAUUCAAUAAUCCUCUCUUUAAAUACUCUCAUACUCUCAUUCUUUCAUUCCCUAAACUCCAAAACAACCUUAUUCAACUAAAAGUAUAUGAACCAGCUAGAUGAAAGAGAAUAACCCUAAAUGUUUUCAUCCAAAACUAAUUAUAAAUAUACUUUUUUAACUUUUUUUUUUAAAAAAGGAUAAGGGGUAUUAUUAAAAAUUAUUAAAAUUUAGCCAAUGUUAAAUUUAAUGGAUUGAACAUAUUUAUGGGCAAGAGGAGGUCUUGCAUGAUUUCAGUCAUCCAUAUGUAUAAACUUAGCUAAUAAGAUAAAAUUCAACUAAAGUUUACAUAAAUGUUUUACAUUUUCUACAUUUGAGGUAUAUAAUUAUUCUUUAUCAAUAAUUUUUUAUUUUUUGGUAGUUCAUCCCAAUAUUUAGGAGUUGAAAGAUUAUUGAACAUAAAAAUUUAAAAAUAAUUCAAGACCUUAUUAUAUAUUAUUCUUGAGUUCUUCCUAAACACCCUUACUUUGACCAUGCAUGUUUUAAAAACUUAUCUAAUCAAAUAAUAAGAUGAAUUAAUUAAAAAAGAAGAAGAAGAAAAGUAUAUGCUUUAGAAUCCAUCAAAGUUUUGAACUGUUAGAGGUUGAAGAUAAAAUCAAUAUAGACCAUACAUAGUUGGUGGAACAGUAAAUUAAAGAAAUUUAUAAUUACAAAAAGUUUGAAAUUAUUUCUUUUAAUUAUUUAUCAUGUGGAGGAUAACGUUUUCUAAAGGAUAAGUAUAUUAAAGUUAGAUUAUAUCAUAUUUGUUAACACAAUCUUAAUUCUAACCCAAACACUUCUUGUCAACUGCAGUGGCCCAUGCAAUCACAUAUCUAUCAAUAUUAAAUCGUACAAAAAAUAUAGUCAUUUAUAACCUUAAUAGACUUCUAUACUUUUCGGUCAAUAAAAGUCUAUCGAUAUCUACAAAAUUUUAAAUUUUGUAAAUAUUUUAAGUAGUUUUGACAUUUACAAUAACUUUGGUCCGUUUAUGUUAUUUUUAUUGAUAGGGUUAAAUAAAAUAAAAGAAAAUUCGUUGGUUAAAUAAGAGGUAACAAAUUAAUGCAUGGAACAUCACAUAAAAGGGAUCACUUGUUAUUUGAAAAUGUAUAUAACCAAAAUGUUAGAUGCUCGUAUUUGGUUCGUACGAAAUAAUUUAUUUUGUAAGUGUGGGAAUUGUUAUUAUUUUUGUCAAUGCUUGAAAUUAAUGGUUAUGUUGGUUUUUAAAGAAAACCAUUGCCUAAAAGGUAAUUUCGUUGAUUAUACUAAUAUCUAAAGUCAAAAAUGAAUAUCAUGUAUUAAUUGAAUCUCUUUCAAAUAUGUCAAACGAUAAUUAAUAAAAUUGAGCAAAAGGAAAGUUUUUCAAUAACUUACAAUUUCAUUUACUAAGAAAGCUAGGAAAGGAAAAUCAUUGAUAGCCCAUCUAGAAGAAAGAGAUUAUAAAUGUUAAAUUUAAGAGGUUGUUCGAAGGUGGGAUGUAAUUAAAAUCAUUAGAAAUACGAACGAUAUUGGAAUGUAGGAAGGAUUGAUCGGAAAACGUAAAUGAAAUUGUGAAACGUGAAAAUAUGGAAAAGAAGGAAAUGAAAUGAGUUUGAUAUUAAAAAAUUAUUGAACCUAAGAAGCUUAAUUAAAACAUGAGUUUUGAAUUACAUUAUUACGGUAAAGUCGUUGCAUUAUAACCAAUCAAACACCUCUUAAAGUUGGAGGUUGAACUAUAAUUAUAUGUUUGUUGGAAAAAGAAAAGAAAAUAUUUGAAUUUAAACGAGAAAAUUUCUACUAUUGUUUAUUUUAAUGCUGUAACACAUGUGCAAGCACACACACAAACACAAACGUGCACGAACACACUUUAAAACCACAUCUAGUUUAGGGUUGGUUGUUCACGAUUGUUAGGGCUCUAAUGGCUCCCGUCUAAUUUAAUAUAUGUCAUUGGUGGCCUUAAUGGGUGUAGCGUUGAUCUAUUUGAACCAAUAAUGUGCCUGAUAACACUAAAAUAAUCGCUCAUAGUGUUUCAUCCCUCGAGGAGGAGAAAGAUAACAUAAUUUUAUUAAGAGUGAGUUGUUUUCAAAUAUAAUAAAAUAAACUAUUAUAUUAAUAAAAUAUGCCAAAAAUCUAAGAUGGUCGAAGUCAUGGAUAAACAUGAAAUAUAUCUAUCUUUAAUAUAAUCUUAAACUUUACUAUAAGUUUAAUAUAAUCUUGAAACUUUACUAUAUGUUUAAUUAGACGCGUUGAAGAAAGAAAAGAAAGAAAAAGAAAGAAGGAAUAAACGGAGAAAGGAGAUGGAUAGACGAAAUGGAAGGGCGCAGAACAAAAUUGAAGAAGACGACGAACUUCUUCUUGCAUUAUCUGCAAACCCUUUAUUCUCCAUUCCCUUUCUCUGUCUCAAAACUCAAAAACAAUCACCCACCACUCCAUUUCUACCCUUUUUCUUUCUCCGCCACGUGUCUUUCCUAACCCAUAUUCCCCAUUUUCCUCCCUUUUCUGUUCAUUUCUGUAUUAUAUAUAUACACACACACAAAUAUACAUAUUGGACUUUCAUCACAGCCCUCGAAUUUAGCACCCCUUUUAACAAUAUCAUCUUAAUUUCUUCUUCUUCUUCUAAUUCUUUUGAUUGAGCAAAAGGGGUUUUUCACAGCGCCAUGGAUCACGCCGCGGAUGCUCAGAGGACGGACUUGAUGACCAUUACUCGCUUCGUCUUGAAUGAGCAAUCCAAGUACCCUGAAUCCCGUGGUGAUUUCACCAUUUUGCUUAGUCAUAUUGUUCUUGGCUGCAAGUUCGUCUGCUCUGCUGUUAAUAAGGUCUUUUUUCCCUCUCUUCUAUCCUCUUUUUGUUUUGCCCUGUUUUGGGUAUUCUUUUAGUUUCUUAUUGAUUGUGUUUAGAUCAUUUUGGUUUUAUUUUUUAUGAAGGGACUUGUUCUUUUUCCUUUGGGAUUUUGAGGGAUAUGAUAAAUAUCCUUGUUUUGCAGUUUGAUGACAGAAUUCUGCUAUUUAGAGACUUUUCAAACUGUUUCAUAAUGGAUUUGAUGGCUUGGGGGUGGCUUAUGAUAGUUUUUCUAGUUCAAUACUUUGUGGGUUGACAAAUUUGAUUUGUAAUAAAUGAAUGCAAAAAAUGUGGGGAAGUUUUCAGUUCAAGUAAUUUAAGGGAAAACUUCUGAAUAUCUGGCUUGAAAUAAGAGAUGUCUUCAAAGGUUAAUAGUUGUACAUUGAUUUUUUUUAAAAAAAAACAUUAUAUUAUCAGGUACAAAUAUAGGUCGAUGUGAACUUGUAUUAUUCAAAGAGACUAAUAUAAGUUUGGGGCGCUUUAUAUUUUAUAUUGCCAUUUAGCAGUCAAAGAUGUAUUCUAACUUUGGUAAUGCAUUUUAUACUAGUUUAUUUAUGUAGGAUGUAGGAUCUAUCUAGUUAUAUAACAUAUUUUAAAAUGAUGUGUACAAUUGUGAAAGAAAAAGGAACAUACAUUAUUGUAGAACUAAAAUAUUUUCUAAGAUUUAUCGAGAUGUAAAGAAAAUGAAUGGAUGUCAAUUCGAGUAUAACUUACUUGUUGAACUAAAAACAAAAAGAAGAAAUAAAGGGGCAAGGGUUGAUCCUCAUGCCCCACAUGAAAGUCAAAGUUAUGUAAAGGUUCCGUGUAGGAUAUCCUUCCUAAUAAGAUAGGAUUUUAUGAGGGUGCCAACAGCUCAGAAUUCCAAAUUCCCAAAAUACCCUUUUGCUUGAAAUUUUCAAACAACAUUCUGUUUUUGCCUUAUGUACCAUUCGGUAUUGCAAUGUUUACAGUUCAUUAACCACAGAAGUUUUCCUUUUGCAGGCAGGUUUAGCUAAACUUAUUGGACUUGCUGGAGAGACCAAUGUUCAGGUAAGAUCUUAUUUGUUAUAAUGAACUCACAAACUAAUCUAGAUUAGCCCAAGAAUACUGUUUCUGAAGAAAAAGAGGAUGAAAAUCAUCUCAUACUAUUUUUUUUUUUUUUGGAAUUAUGUCUUUACGUUUAUUCAUUCUCUUUGACAACAGGGUGAAGAGCAAAAGAAACUGGAUGUGCUCUCAAAUGAAGUCUUUAUCAAGGCUUUGGUCAGCAGUGGCAGAACUGUAAGCUGCUAUCUAAUCAUACAAAUGACACGACAAAAAUAUCUGGUGACUUACUCUAAUAGUUGUCAAUUUGGUGGCAGUGUAUUCUUGUUUCUGAGGAAGAUGAAGAGCCAACAUAUGUCGAGCCAUCUCGGCGUGGAAGGUUUGUUUUCCGUUCUUGAUGACUUUUGUCUGCUGCUUACAAUGAACAUUCAGUAUCAACUCUUUUUACUUUGCUUUAAUUUUAAUGUUAUUUCUUAUUAUUUUCCAAUGACAAAGGUAUUCUGUGGUGUUCGAUCCACUGGAUGGUUCCUCCAACAUUGAUUGUGGUGUUUCCAUUGGAACGGUAAUAUCCCUUUGUUACCUUCUGAAUGAGAUUUCAAAUGUUUUUGGUAUAAUUUCUUUCCAAUUAGCUAAGUGUAUGAUUGUUUGAAUAUCUACUUUUUCGUGUAGAUUUUUGGAAUUUAUCUCUUGAAAGACAGCCAUGAACCUAACCUAGAAGACGUCUUGCAACCUGGAAAGAAUAUGGUGGCAGCUGGCUAUUGCUUGUAUGGAAGCUCUUGCACAGUAUGGGCAAUCUAACUCUAUUUAUUCAUUUGUUUACAUCAGUUUGUAUGCAGUAUUAUAGAUCUUUUAAUUUUUAGAUGGUCGUUCUAAAGUUAUGGUUAUUAUUGAUAGUAGUCCUUGGAUCAUGUAGGAAAAGUAUGUUCUCUUUUUCCUUAUUGUUGUAAAUCAAUUCUUAAAUUGAGUGAAUGCUAGUAUUAAAUUGUUAAUCUUCAUUUUGGUUUUUUUUUUGCAGCUUGUUUUAAGUACUGGAACUGGUGUUAAUGGAUUCACUCUCGAUCCUUCUCUUGGGGAGUUCAUUUUAACUCACCCAGAUCUUAAGGUGAAGCAUUUCUUCCUUAUGUUUUUGUGUUUCUUCUUUCCCUCUCAAAGGCACCUCUAAUUUCCAUAUAAUGUGAGAGAAAAAGAGAGACAAUUUGAGAGAGCACUCGUCACAUCUGUUGCUAUCAUUUUUUGCUUCUUUUGAUUGUCUUGUACGUACUUCAUUUCUCCUGUAACCAUCUGCAGAUUCCAAGUAAAGGAAAGAUUUAUUCAGUGAAUGAAGGAAAUGCAAAGAACUGGGAUGGUCCGACUGCAAAGUAUAUUCCAUCGAUUUGGUUUUUGUUUCAGUUUGACUUAUAGGCCAUGUGAACUACUAACUUGUUUUCUCUUUUAGGUAUGUAGAGAAGUGCAAGUUUCCUACAGAUGGUUCGCCUCCCAAGUCUUUGAGAUAUGUUGGAAGGUAAGGAUUUAUGAAAUAUUUGAAACAUUACUUUAACUCAUCUUAUUGUUUAUUUGUUGUUUCAUUCUUAUUCUAAACGCAUCAUAUUUUGCAACAUAUGAACUUGAAUCAUUUUGAAUAAGUGGGGUUCCCCAUUUGUUGUUUGUAUGCUGUUCAUCUCUGAACUUGAGUUUGAAAUGAGGAUAAGAUAUGGUAGUAUGGAAGUUCUGAUGGUAUGAUGCUUUGAUUAACAGCAUGGUAGCUGAUGUCCAUCGUACAUUGCUUUAUGGUGGUAUAUUUUUGUACCCUGGUGACAAGAAGAGCCCCAAUGGGAAAUUGCGGUACGUGGCAGUUUUACUCUCCUCUUUCUGAGAAAUUUGGCUAGUUAGCAUUUUGGACCAUUGGAUAUAUUAGAAAGAGUCUAUAUAAGAAUCUACGUUCAACGUUGAAUAGCUUUUUUCUAGACUAAACUUUUUCUAGCUGUAUUACAUUAUGCAAUGAUGUGUGUGUUUGUCUCUUUCCAAUUGCAGUGUGUUGUAUGAAGUUUUCCCAAUGGCGUUCUUGAUAGAGGAGGCAGGAGGUCAAGCAUUCACUGGAAAAAUAAGGGUACCAUACUUUACCACAAUUAUAACGAGACAUAUAAAAUCUUGAGAGUUCAUUUCCGUUUCCUUGAUUUGUUUUAAGAUGAAUGCAAUUUGAUUUGCAGGCACUUGACUUGGUUCCAAAGAAGAUACAUGAGAGAUCUGCCAUAUUUCUUGGUAGUUAUGAUGAUGUUGAAGAGAUCAAAGCUUUGUAUGCUGCUGUUGAGGAGUGAAUGGACUUCAAAAGUUAGAACCAAGUUACUCGUGAUCCAUGUCGGCUUCAUUGCUUUUGUUGUCCCUUCUUUCAGUGUUUCUAAUUGUAAUUGCAUUUGUUCCCAUAGAAUUUCAAUGCCUUAUUGAUUGUUCUUAGUUCUUUCAUGAUAAUGAAUGCAUAAAGUGCGGGCAUGAGAAUGAUUUUAUUCGCUCAAAGCAACUGGGAAAAUGAAGGAAAUUGUCCAAAAGAAAGAAACAAAACAAGAAAAGAAGAAUGAUUCUCACAUAAUAUAAUGUAGCUUAAAGGUGUAAAUUAGGUAAAAAUGUAACUCAGCUGACUUAUUUGUGAUCUUUAGGAAAAGGAAAAGGAAGAAAAGCUUUCAAACAUAGAACAACAAUUGGCAAUGAACUAUUCCACAAUCUUUAAUUUCUAAAAUUUAUAAAAGCAGAUUUUAUCUAUUAUUUAUCUUUCCCUUUUUAAAAUUUUUGGAAUGAAGAAAUUUCUUGACUGUAGAAUGAAGACUUCGAUUUAUCAUUUUAUUUUAUUUUUCCACAAAAUUAGGUAGCAAGCUCCAUUACAAACCCGGAUAAACAUGCAACAAAGCCACAUUCUCAAAUCAGAUUUUAACGAAGCAAUUAGCAAGCAGCGUGAGGCAAAACGAUGAAAUUGAGCAAAGGAAACUACGACGACAUGACCCAAUUCAAAAGCUACGGCCAAGGCUACCAUUGCUGCCAAGGGGAGGCUUCCAGCUUCCAAUGCCCCGAAAAUUCAUAGUCAAUUUAGGUUUCAUCUUAGAGAUAGAGUGUAAUAGAUUAAUUAGUCGACAAUUCCACCAUCGUCAUCUUACUCUCUUCAUGGAUUCCACCAUUUUUUUUUUUUUCAUUUUUAUCCUAUCAAAUACGGUUGUGAAAAUCAGUAAUUAUUGUUUAUUAUUAUCCAUUUAGAGGUUUCUAAAUGUUUGUUUUGUGUCAUUUAUUUUGAAUUUGGCAGCAACCAAACAAAAAAUCAAUUCAAAAUUUUCACAUGGUUUACUUUUCAGAUUUUAUUUUCCAGUGGGAUUUUUUUUUCGUUGAAAUUGGUAUUUUAUUGUUAUAAAAUAAAAUUAUGGUGAACUAGAAAACUAACUUUCAUCUUGGAAAACAGCGAAACAAUUGCUCUUUUAAUCUUUCAAAUGCAAAACCAAAAAGUAUAUGAAAACCAUACAUACAAUAACCUAUUUAAUAUACGAUAACGGUUGUUUUCAUUCCAUCUACCAUUGAACAAUAUUUUUAAAAGUUUAGGGUUCAUGGCAGGUAUUUAGUCCAGUCGACAGGAUGAAGAAAUAUUGACUACUUUUUAAAAUAAUUCAAAAUUUAAAAUAAAAUAAGAUCUAAUAUGAAAACCAUAGUUUUAAUUUUCUAAUUAUUAAGUGUGUUGAGAAACACCUUAUUUUAAAAUAAAAUUAAGGGUUGAGAUUCUAAUUUAUAAAAAAUAAUAAUUUGGUUAGGUUGAAAUUAGUAAAAUGAAAUAAAUUGUUAAAAUCUUUAACCAAUUGAUUGAGUGAUCGAAAAUGAGAGCAAUUAGAUGGAGAAAGUGAUCGAUUAUGUCGCUAUAAAUUAACUUAAAUAUUUACCAUAUCUAGCAAAAUUUUGGAUUCUAUGGAUUAUAGACACUUACAGACUUCUAUCAAAUUUUUUCAUGUUGUAAAUAUUUUGUGAAAAUUUUCAUUUUUGACGAUUUCUGUUUAUUGAAUGCAUUAAAUAGGUAAGUGAAUAGAUGUGUUGAUAUAAUAAAUUAGUUACCACAUUAUUUAUAUAUAUUCUUUGGACAAAAUAGUCAAUAAAAAAACUUGAAAUCUUAGUUAAGAAAAUGAAUGAGAUUUUGUGAUAUUUGUGUAAACUGAAAUCUAUUUUAUUUUCUCAAAAUUUAUUUAAAUGACUGUUGUUAAUGGGCUUGGUCAAGAAUCGUAGGCCCAAUAUUGAGAAGACCCAAAUUGCUAUAUGGCUUUGUCUUUGUAAAUGAAAUUCAAAAUUUUCUUUUUUUGGAAUUUAACUUAUUCGUCAAAAGGAAUUAGAAAACUUUUUUAAAAAAACUUAAACGCAUACGUGAGCAAUAGAUUAGACAAUGUUUGGAAGUGUAUUUAGUGUGAUCAUAAUUUUUUGAGGACCAAAAUCCUUCUCAUGCUUUCAUUUUUUAAAUAUUUGGUAGACAUCAUAUGAAAUGCUUUUAGUAUGACUAUAUAUAUAUAUAUCAUUAAAUUUAAAUAUGUGUAUAAUAUUUUGACAAUAAGAAAAAACAUAUUUACAUAAUUAUAAUGUUUAGAUUGUAUGGGGUUAAGUGAGUCAAUAAGAAAGAGAGUAGGAAUGAAAGAAAAUAAAGAAGAUAGAGAAGUAUUAGAUAAUAGAUUGAAGGGAGAAAAAUGAAAUGAAAAUUGGAGGAAAUAGAAUGUGCACAUUAACCCUAUCACCUUUUUUUUAAAAAAAUUAUUUCUUUUGAAAGUUAAGGACAAUAUAUGAGAUCCUCUAAACAAAAUAUAAUCGUGUAGUAUUUAAACGACAUAGAACAAUUUCGAAAAUGAAAAAAAAAACUCAUAAAUAUCCAUAAUAGAAAAUAUAAAAAACGUCUGUGAUUAAUUGUCCGAAAAUAAUCAUUUAAAUUUGACUAUUAUUUUCUAUACCUAAAUCUAAGCAAAUUUUUCAAAAAAAAUUUUUUUGGUACAUUGUUUAAAUUUAGAUAGUAAAAUCUCGAACUAUUUUAUUAAAAAAAUUACAGAACCAACUUCAAAGCACACACUCUAAUAUUAAAAUGAAGUGAGGAUUUGAACCUAAAAACUCUUGUUCACAGGAACAUACAUACAUGUGCUAGUUGAACUAAACUCAUGUCGACAAAUUUUUAAUUUUUCUUUUUUAAUUAAUAUUAAUUUUGUAUAGUUUAUAAAAACGAUGAUUGUUGUGUUUUAGUGGAUGAGAAUUAGUACAAACAAUAGAACAGAUAUAUAUUUUUAAAAUUAUAUAUAUAUGUGUGUGUGUGAGUUAUAAUUAAUGAUUGUUUUAAUGAAUGAGAAGUGGUUCAAAAAGGGAUCCAUGUUCCUUGUUUGCCUUGAGUCGUCCAAAUCACUUUGAAAUGACCUUUCUCACUAACAUUGAUAUCACUCAUUUUAAUUCCUCUUUCACUUUCUUUUAUGCAACACAAUGUAAUGAUGAAUCAAAGGUAAAUUAUAUAAAAUCACUCUAAAAAGAAUUCUCUCCUUUCCCAAAUUAAUAAUAAUAUUAAUACUCUUCACUUUUCAAAAGUUAUAAAACUAUUUCUUCAUUUUCUUAUUACCUUUUCCAACCCAACCAACUUAAAUAGAAACUAGAAUUACCAAAAAUUAUAUCUUCAAUAAAUUUGUUUAAAGAAAAAACUAAAAUAUAUUUUUAGUAUUAGUUUAUAAACACAAACAAUUAAUACACAUUUAAAAAAUAUGCUUAAAACAAACUAUAUAGAUAUAUUUUUCAUAUAAUUGUUCUCGUUUAGCUAAUUGGUCCAACUCUUAAUCCAAUUUUCUUCCAACAAAAUAUUCAAUCAAGUUUGAAAACAAUUUCACAAAAGCUCACAAUCAUCCACAGUCAAAUUCUUCCCAAUGAUGAAUAACCAAAUGCAAAAAGAAAUACUAAUGUGCUACAUUCUUAAAUCAUUUUAAGUCCUAAGGUCUUCUUGGUGCUUUCAUUGUCCUCUUUUUGUUACAAUCUAUGUACCUUAACUCAAUCAUUUUUUUGUAUGAGAUAAACAAAGGUUGAAUAGUAAGAGGGAAGAAGAAUAGGAAAAAAAGAAGAAAGAAUGCGUUAGAUUAUAGAUUGAAAUAGUGAGGAGAGGAUCGAUGGUGACAAGGUGUAGACACAAAUGAUAAAAACAUUUUCACCUAUUUUUAUGGUAUAAGCUAAUAAUGCAACAUUUGAAAAAUUAUAGAAUUUUUUUAAAGGAAGUAUUAACGAUUGAAUAUUUUAUAAAGUUUUGAGGGUAUUUUUGUAACUAUUUGAAAGCUAACGAUAUAUUUCCAUAAAAAAUUAAUGGUAAGAUAUUUUUCAACUUUUUUAUAUUAAAGUUUAAGUGUAUUUUUAAAACAUUUGAAAGUUUAAGAGUAUUUGUUAUACAAAAUACAAAGUUCAAAAUGAUUUCUUAUAAUUUACUCAAUAUUUCUUUUUCUUUUAAUCAUCUUUUACCCUCCGAGUUUUUAUGAAUGUGUUAUAAGUUUUCAAUAUGUACACACAUAUAUAUUUAUACACACAUAUAUACAUACAUAAAUCUACACAUACAAACAUGUAUAUAUAUAUAGGUCUUGAUUAGAAAGACGUUUGGUAAUAGAGUUUUGAAAAGGUGCAUUUUUGUUUAAUGGUUGAUUUUGAAUUAAAUAAAAUAAACAAAAGAAUAAUGGUGAUGGUUGUUUAAAAAGAAACAAAGAGCAUCAAAUAAAGAAUGGUUACUAAAUAUAUGGUUUCUUCCAUUCUUAACUAAAAGAAGAAUUAAGAACAAAACAUGGUUACCAUCCACUUUCUCUUUUCUUAAAGGAAAAAAAGAAGAAAAGAAGAAAGAAAAACUAUAAAUGAACAAAAUAUAUAUAUAUUAUCAUUGUAUAGAAUUUUUUAUUAAAAUUCAAGUAUUCUAAUACUUCAUAAUCACAUAAAGUCUUAAAGUCUUAAUUAGAUCAAGUGAGUGUUAUUUGUUAAAGUAAUGUUCUUUAGCAUCUUUUGCCACGUAUCUUUAUUUUUAAUGGGUGAUUUAAGAUGGAAGAUCCUUUUUUUUUCUUCUUAAUAAUCAAUCUUAGAAUAUAGGUUGAAAAAUACUAAACAUAAGAAAAAUAAAUUGAAAAGUAGAGGGGAAAAAAAGAAACAAUAAUAAUAGAAAGAGAAGGAAUAUAAAGAAAGACUAAAAUCUUGAAAUUAACAAGAAAAGAAGAGAAUUCAAAAGGCUGUAUAUAGGAGAGGAGCACAAAAAGAAAAAGAAAAAAAAAGAGUUUAAAAUUGAGGAAAAAAGAGAACCUUAUGAAAUUAAUUAUAAUUAAGUUAUUUAAUUUAUGUGUACUUUUCUUUAAUUUUGCAUUAAAAAAUGCUUUUUUAUUUUGGAAGAUGUUAUGUGGUCAAUUGAGAAUAUCCAUCACUUAAUUUAUAUUUGGUAUUACAAAUUAAGGAUAACGAAUUAGGAAUAAUAUUGCUAAUCAUAUAUUGAUAGCUAUAUAUUAUCACACAUAUAUAUAAUUGAUUAUGUGAUGUAGCAUAUGAAAUGACAAUUUACAAUAAAAAUUUAAUUCUUAAGUAUGAUUGUGGAAAUUUUAUAAUAUUGAACCACACAUCAUGCAUUAAUAAAAUGAUUGAUAAUAUAUAAAUUAAAACCACAACUUCAAUCAUCAUAAAAGAUCAUACUAUUCAAACAAUUAUAGUUUAAGUAUAUACUAAAGGCAGAAUAGACAUUUAAUUUUGUAUUUUUGAAUUUUCAAAAAUGUUAUUUUAAUUUUGAAAUAUAAUAUCAUUAAUUGAUGUAGUUAGACUAAAUUUGAAUCCUUUAUAUCAUUUUUACGAAAAACUAUAAAAUUUUGAUGUAUUUAGGUAAGAAAUCAAGAUAUUGAGAUUGAAAUGUAGAAAAAUGAGUUGUAAUAAAACUACUUAUUUUAUAUAUAUAUAUAUGGUUUGGGUGUAAAGCAAAAAGAGAUAAUAAAGGAGAAAUAAUUGAGUGAAUGUUUAAGCAAAGAUAAAAGAAGAAAGAAAGAAAGAAAGAAAGAAGAGAAAUUUAUAUUUUAUAUUGAGAAUUCACAUGGAUGACACAUUUGUGUUACAUGCAUUCACAUGCUGGCCUUCUCCCUUCUCCCUUCUCCCUUCAUCAACUUUUCUUUUCUUUUUAUUUUUAAUUAAUAAUUGUUAUUUUUUGUUUCCAGAUCGGACCCACCAUGUUUGAUCCUUAUCUCUCUUCCUGCCACGUGUUACUUGCCAGCUUGAUUUGAUAGAACUGAUUGAUUGUUUCUUUUGUUCAUGCGGUUCCUAACCAUUUCUCUUUUCUUCUUUUCAUUUACAUACAAUAACCUAUUUAAUAUACCUUACCUACUGUUCUAAUAAUUGACUCAUUAAUGCUAACCCUUCAUCAAAUCAUUACUUACAUUCAAAUGCUUCCUUACCCAUAAAUUCACAAAUUAAAUUUUACAAAUAAUAUUAAUAUAAACAAAAUUACUCCUUUAAGCUUCAAUCUUCUUCCUAUCAUAUUCUAUCUCUUUUUUUCAUCCAUUAAUAAGUUUUAUGGGUAUGGUGUUAUAAGAAAACUCAUAUUUCUUGUAACAUAUAUUAUAUUAUAUAAAUUUUCCCCAAUUGAAAAAUGAUUAUAUUUUAGGGCUAUUUUAAAAUAAACCAAAAGAAUAGUAAAUAUCAUAAUCUGUUGAUAGAUAAAUUGUAUCUAUCUAUUUCAUGAUAAACAAUUUGUAUCUAUAUGUAUGAUAAUAGAUAUAGAUAACGGUAUAUCAAAAGUUAAUUAUGAUAUUUAAUUUCAAGAAGCGGUUUAAAGAAAACAAACAAAGUAGAAGUCAAGAGCCAAACAUGUUGCUUUUCCAUUUUUGUUGUCAAUUAGACCUAAGGAAUCAUUAGGAAAACAUAAAAAUGAUAACGUAUUACAUUUUUGUUCAAAGUAUUAUUGGCUCAAAAUAUAAUUAGUUGUUAGUAUUUGAGUAAUAUUUUCCAAUUUUCGUUCAUCAUCUACUUUUUAAUCAACUUAUUACUUACAAACGUAAUAUAUAUUUUAUAAGAAAAUCUUGUAUAAGAAUCCACCUAAUUUUAUCAACUUUUAGUUUUAUAUUUCUAUGAUUGAACUACCGAAAAGAAAGAUUACCUUGUUUGGUAGCAUCACUCUCAUGUUUUCAAAAUCCCUCUCAUUUGGAUAUGAUCUUGAUUCAUUUUUCAUGUAUUUGUUUAGAACUCAAACAUUACAUAAAUAUUGUUCUACUUAAUUCAUGGACCUUCUACAUUAAAUAAUUUCCUCAACUUAACUCAAAAUAUCUUAACUUGUAAAGAGAUUUGAUUGUGAAUGAUAAUUCAUUACAUAACAUAACAAAAACCAUUUAGAAUGUUUGAAAGAAAAACAUUAAAGAGUUUGUUAUUUUCUUUUAUGAAUUGAACCUUUAACCUUUUAAACGAGAGUGAAAGUGGAAAAACAAAACUAUGUAUUUAAGUAUCACAAAUAGAGUGUUUAUAUAAAUUGAUUGAUAAGGUAAAAGCAUAAAUAUGUUUUUUUCAAAAGAGAUUUAGUUUAUUUAUUGUUUUUUAACAGAAAAAAAAAAAGAAGAAAAAGGAAAAUUGUAAAUGCAAUGUGUUUGUGGGCAAUGAAUCUGAUUCGAGCCAAAAGAAUGGUACGUACCAGCAAAGCAAUUACAAAGGAGAGAGACAUAAAACAAAGCAUAGUUAAAUCAAACGCCCAAUCUUUCAAUUCAAUUAACAAUCUUUUUAAUUUCCCCUUUUUUCCACACUAAUUCUGUUUUUUUUUUUUCCCUUUGAUUAAUUCAGUCUUUCCUCCAUCAUCCAAUUCUUUUCUACCUUUCGAACUGUUACAAUAACCCUAACCAUUGUUUCCAUUCACAAUUUAACUUUUAAUUACACUUCUUUUAAACAAUUCUUGACUGCUACUUUCUGAACGAUUUGGAAAGUACAAAACUAAUUAAUAUCGAGUGGAGUGAUCUUCAUUUGACACCAUGCAUGUAUAUUAAAGCUAUCAUUGAGAUGGAGUUGUUUAUUAUUCUUUCAUUAAAUUAGGCUAUGUGUAUGUAUGUUGUAUUUACAUAUAAUUAAGUACAACAACGUUGUAAACACUUAAAUUAGUGAAAAUAUAUUUCUUUCAACACGACUUCUUACGUGUUUGUGGUAUUGCACCAAGCUAGGUUAUCAAAUUAAACAUUGUGUUCUAUUCCCACAUCUUAUUAUCUUUAUGUUUUUAUAAAAAUUUAGAAUCAUUGUGACAUUUUGUGUUAGAUAAUCCUUCUUUUACAUUUUGUUUUACUUGUUUGAAUUGACUUUUUAAAUGCUUAAAAAUAAUUUUUUUUCUUCUCCUAACAUUUCUAUAAGUCUUUAAAAAUCAAGUUCGUUAAUUUAAACAUGUCGUAAAUAACUUAAAAAAUAAAAUUGAUUUAGGAGGAACUUAUGAAACUCUCGUUAGACGUAAGGAUUUGGUCACUAGAGGUCUUAAUCACAUAAAUAAUUUUAAUGUACUAAAAAAAUAUCACAAACUUAAAUUUUUGAUAUAUUCUAAAAAAAAGCAUAAUUAAACUCGUAUAAUAUUUGUAGUGAUUUUGAUGGUCUCCCCUAAUUACAAAACAAAUAAAUUAAGAAACCAUAUAUCAUACUUUUAAGAAUGCUAAUUAAACUAAUUAUAUAUAUCAAAGUGGUCAUUAUUAGGUUUAAAAAAAGAGUCACUAUUGUUUAGCUACUUAACCUUCAAUCUCUUGAAAUUAUAAGUUUUACACAUAAUGUACUAUUGAAAAUGUGUCAAACCAAGUCAUUCUAUAGAAAAGUUAUAUUUAAAUUUAUUAAUAGAAAAUUGUAAGUUAUUGUUUUAAUAGUAUAUUAAAACACAUAGACAAGGCACUUGAAAAUUCCAACUUGAGAAAAGGAAAUUUGUUGAUGGUUUGGUCAAAUUUUGAUAUUGGACAGGUUGGGUUUAGAAUGUAUGUGUGACAUACUCAUGUGUCCAAAUACACUAACUAAACAAUAAUUUAAUGAUAUACCAUCAUUUCCUUUUAAAAAUUUAUAAUUGACUAUUAAAUUAAUUGGAGUGAUUUUAAUAUGUAAAGUUAAUUUUGACGAUUUAAAAAUCAUUCACAUUGAUAAAUUGGGAAUUUUUGUUUAGAUAUCUUAGUUAAAAAAGUGUAAAAUUAUAGUUUAUAUAGUAAUAAUAAUUUUUUUUAUAUUAAGAAUUGAGUUGAGCAAAGGUUGGAGUGUUGCUAGUACAACGAUACUAUCAUUUAUUUAAUUCAUUUAUUAGGUAGUAGGCUUUACAAAUCUUAAAAUGAAAAGGUUCCAGUUUACAAUAGCUUAUAAAAGAAUUUUCUUUUUUCUAGAAUGAAAUAGCUUUCUUUUUAAAGCUAAUGGUCGUGAUCAAUUAAAUUUUGAGUCUUGGGGUGACUUUUUUCAAAAGCAUUUUAAAGUCAAACAUUAUAUUCCCUUAAGUGUAACUCGUAGGUUCGAAACUACAUUUUUAGAAUAAGUUGUUUAGCAUAUAUUUUUUAAAACAAAAUUUUAUUUCUUUGUAAUAGAAAAUGCUUAACUAUGCCAAUUAGCUAAAUAUUUAGUUAUAUAUUCUUAAAAAAUGUUAGUGAUUACUGUUAUAUAUAUAUAUAUAGGUAGAUUUAGUACAUGUUUAGGAAGGCUUUAACUUCCAUCAACUUUAUGAUAUAUAUAUAGAUAUAAACUAACAUAGUUUUAAUAUCAUUAGCUAGUUGAGUAGUAAAUAUAUCUUUUAACCUCCUUUGACCCAAGUUAAAGUUCCACGGUAUAUUUGUCAUUUUACUAUAUUUUUAACAAUUUUUUCAUUUAAAACGUUUACCCUAUAUAUUUUACUUUUAGGUUUCAAGUAGGCGAACCUCUAUCUUGAUUGGCUAGUAUAACAGAUUAGGAUUUCAUCACUUUUUUUUUUUGUCGAGCAAGUAUAUGAGGGAAGUAUUCGUUAAGCAAAUUCGUAUGCAAAUAGGGACAAGUUAAAUAAUGGGAAUAAAAGCAGUCAAUUGGUAGAAGGCAAGCAACUUUCGAAGAGUCUUCCUGAUCAAAAUGUUUGAGGGAAAUUGUAUCGGUAUCAACUUGCAACGCUCUUGUAACUGUGGAAAAGGAGUGAUUGCACUUCUACUAUGGCAUCUUAGAGGUACUAUGAAUGAGCAAAAUGAAAGUUGCAGUAAAGAUAAAGAUUUCAAGGGAAACUGCUAAAAAACGAUUGAAUGUGUGGGAGAAUCUGUUAGAUAUGAAGAAGUGUUCAUGGAUCUCAACUAGAAGGUUUUAUGGUUGAAGGGAAGGAGUAUAUGGUGUGUAAAUUAAAGAGGUCAAUAUAUGAACUUAAACAAGCUUCCAGACAGUGGUAUCUUAAGUGCAAUGAUAUCGUCACAUCUUUUGGUUUUAAAGAAAACAUCGUUUAUUGAUGUUUAUACCUAAGGAUCAGUGGGAGUAAAUUUAUUUAUAAUCCUUGUUCUAUAUGCUUACUUACAACAUAUGUAAUCAUCUUGAGGUAAUUGGAUAUUUCGAUUCAGAUUUUUUUGGGUGUAUGGAUACAUGAAAAUUCACUUUUGGCUAUUUGCUCCUAUUAGCUGAAGGAGAAAUUUCAUGAAAAUGUUCCAAGCAGUGUAUGGUUGUUGCAUCCACUAUGGAGGUUGAAUAUAGUAUGCUUUAAGGUUAUAAUUUAUGUUUUAUGGUUCAAAAACUUUAUCUCAAGAUUUGGAAUCGUGGACAAUAUUGUCAAGCCAUUGGUAAUUUAUUGUAAUAAUUCUCCAGUAGUUUUCUUCUAAAAAAAUCACAAAAAGUAUUCUAAAGGUGCUAUACUUAACGAAAUAAAAAUACUUUGUUGUUAAAGAAGAAGUUUAGAAACAAAUAGUGUCAAUCAAACACAUUAACAUUAAAGUUAUGAUUGCAGAUCUACUAACUAAAGGAUUGCCAUCAAAGACAUUCAAUCAUCAUGUUAAACAUAUGAGCAUUAGUAUAUAUCAUUAUUGAAAUCGGGAUUAUGUUAUUUGACACUUUGUGAUCAUUUAUUUAUUAUUUAUGAUUUUAUCUCAUGUUUCUUUCUUAUGAUUAGUAUAUAUAUAAGUGAAUUAUCUAAAUCAAACAUAAUAUUGCCUUUGAUAAAAACACCUAUUAUUGGACCGUUAUUGAUUAUCUUUAUUAUAGAUAAUGUUAAUAGAAGAACUAUUUCAAUAAUACAUGAAAGAGAGUAUAUUAAUGCAAUGAUGUAGGAUUGCCACGAUCCUUUAGUAGUUUCUUUGACUUGACAAGAUAUAUUAUGAAGUUUAAUUUUGCACAUUAUGUCUAUGAACGUAUAUGGUAAAUAAUGUCAAUGGGCCAAGUGGGAGAAUGUUAGAUUUAUUUUAAAAUAAAAUAUCAUUAUUAAUGUGACCCAUAUGCAUUAUAUGCUAUUUUUAUCUUUCAGGCCUAUUAUUUUAUUAGGCACAUUAGGUAAAAAGAUAAUGCCCUAAUUAAACAUCAUGAUGGGUGUUGUCUAUAAAUAGAACCUCAGGGAUUCGUCCUCUCACUGCCUCAUUCAAGUAAUUCACUAUUCCCCAUCAAGAAAAUUAAUUAUGUUAAGGAAGGUCAAGUGAGGGGAACACAAUCCUUUAGAAGAUCAUUCAUGGAUCAAGGUAUGUGAUUCUCUAGCUAAGUUUAAUUUGUAAAAAUUAAGUAGUACAAAAAUCUUGAUAUUUAUUGUUUUACAUAAUGUUAUGGUUUUAUUGUAUAUUCAUGAAAAUAAAACGUACAGACCCAAACAAAUUUUGCUUUCAUUUCCUCUCUAUAGAGCACUAGUUACUUACAUUAUUGUCUUCAACAUGCAAGUUACACUAACGACGACGACUAAGAGGGAUUGCUAGACCAGCAGCCAGACCAACAAUGAAUGUGUAUUGAUUGUUAUUCCAUACCAAGAUCAAUAAAAAAUUUCAUGUCGAACGGGGAUCCUAAAAAAAAAAAAAAGAGUCCAUGACCCUCAUAUAAGGAGAGGUCGAAUUUCAAACAAAUCGAACCCCUUUUUUUUGGGUCUUGGUAAGGAAGAUACAGAUAAAAUGCCAAAUAGCCUGAUGUCAGCUUCUACGACAUAAGCUUUAAAGAAGAGAGCUAUUACCAACUAUUUUUUUUUUAAAAAAAUUUUCCGUGAGUUAUACUCACAAGUUGAAGAGGCAUGCAUGAAUGAACGGAGAUCACGUAUGAAUGAAAGAUCUCAAGUAUAUAUGAAAAAUAUGGUUAACAAACACAUAAAAGAAUUGAUAGCUAUUGUCUAAUUAUAUACUAACAAGGCUUACCUUUCUUUUUAAUAGUUUGAUUAUAAGAAAUUCAAAGAAGUACACAUGUUUAGGAGUGAUUUUAAAAUCAUCAAAAUCAUUUUUCAUUCUAAAAUUAUUCAAAUUAAUAUAAUUUUAAAAUGUACACUUUUGAGUGCAAUUUUCAUAUCAUCAAAAAUAAAAUUUGAAGGAUUAAAGAUGUGUUUUUCACAUUAAUCAUUUUGAAAACAACAAAGUUGAUUUUAACCAUUUUAGAAUCACUCAAUGUGAAAACUGUGUUCUAGAAUAAAUGAGUUGUGAGGAGGCUGAAAGUACUAAGUAUAAUUAUUAGGCGUUUUGAGAAAAAAGUAUGUGUUUUUUCUAGGUGACACAAAGAAGAUAUAAUAUGUUUUAGCUAGGUGACACAAGUAAGUGUUUUGGAUAAGGCGUUUUGAGCUAGGUGACGAAAGAAAGUUAGGAGAUUUUGUGAAGAUCCAUUAAUCUGGAUUAGUUAGCAGGUUAUGUAUUCGGUUAAAAUUAAGCUUCAUUAGAGGAAAUAUUAAACCUACAAGUGUAAGAUAUAAAGAAAGUGCUGACAAGCUAAGAUGAGUUUAAGGAUGAGUACUAAUCUGGUUUAAGAUUAGUAUAAACAAGCCUUGUAAGUUUAAAAGAAAGGUUAUAAGGGAAGCUCUAAGUUCUAAAAUCCUAUUAAAGAAAGAAAAAACGAGAAGAGAAGACUUUGAAGUUAGGCGAUAAAAAUGGAUUAGAAAAAAAGGAAGCAUUAAGUUUUGUGAGUGACAUUUUCAAAGAAAAGAGCAAGAUUUUCUAAAAGCUUUUCUUUCCAAGUCAUGUUAUGCUAAUCUUAUUCUCAACUCUUUUUAAACUACUAAGUGAUAAAGAUAAUGUAACACAGUGGAAGUUAUAACUUAACUUUAUUCAUAACAGACGUUUGAUACAUAAAUGCAACACCUUGACCAAAUAAAUGAUGCUUAACUAUUUCCAAAACUCUGCUGCAAAUCUUUCAAUCGUCUUCUCAACUUUGCCUAAACGCCUGAUCUUGGAAGAUGAGAUUUCUAAAACAUAAGUGUAAAAUACUUGGUGAAGUUUUAUGAAAUACUUUUCGCUAUGCCCUUUGAUAAAUCCUUUUCGCCAAAUCAUAAUUACCAACACAAAUCAAUUUAUCAAUGAACACUUUAUUUUGCGAAACAUAUCAAAAUGCAUAUAAUCAUUUUUAUAAUAAAAUUUGAUCAACUUGCAAAUCACAUCAAUAUUCAUUUCGGAAAACACCCAUUAUUCAAUCAUCAUUUUGUCAAGAACCCCUAAUCGUUCUCUACGCUUGGUCUCAUUACUUCAAAUUUAGACUAUUGCAUCAACAGGAUCCAAGAACAUACAAAUUCGUUCUUGUUGCUCAGGCUGCUAAGCUUUAUACGCUCAUUUCAAUACAUAAGCCAGCUUCUUAUCACCAUGUAGCCCCAUACACCUCCAUGGUGACCUUAACUCUUUAUGUGCUCACAAAAAUUAACAUCACCUCAAGGAAACAACUAAUGGUUUGAAAACCAUUGAUAGUAUUGAAAUCAACAAAUCAUGCUUGAAAACAAAUAAACUUUUUUAUAGAAAUCUCUUUUAAAACACUUCUCUUUUGAUUUUUUCAUUCAAAUCAGUAAAGAGAAGUCAUAAUAAGUUUUUAACAUAAAUUCAUUUGAGAUAAAACACAAACUCCUCUCUCAGCUCCUUCUUGAGCCUACCUCAUGAGUUCUAUAGAGCUAUACACUUUAUUUAAGCUCGUCUUAUGAGUCCAACAAGCUUUUAUUAAGCUCACUUCAUGGAUUCAUCGAACUCUCAAUAAGUUUGCUUAGGCUCACUUCAUGGGUCCGUCAAACCCCAUUAGGCUCGCUGAAACUCACUUCAUAGGCCUAUCGAAGUUUCACUAGGUUCUUCUUUAGUUUGUUUUGGAUAUGCUAAAAUUCAUUCAAAAUCGAGUAUGAGUCAAUUACCUCAGUUUUAGCUUUUAAACAUACAUGUAAUUAUUCCUAAUAUAAUAAGGUCUCACCGCCUUACAAUUUAUUAUAAUUAUUUGUAAUAAAUUGCGGCCAACUAUUUUGUUCUUCCCUUCAAUAAUUGGAAUAUUAAUUAUAAAAUAAUAAAUCACAACACAAAAUAUAUUAAUCCUCUUAUUGUAUUUUAUUAUUUUUGUUUGGUGUCAAUUAUUAACCUCAAUGUCUCCUAACACACUCAUAAUGAUAAGUUGAGAUCAAAAUUAAACAAUCUUCCCCCCAACUAAUUAAUUUUAAAUAUUAUAAAAGAAAAAUAUUAACUUUGAUCAUUAAAGUCCACUUCUAAGCACGUAGUGGGUCCCUUUUUAGCUAUUAAAAAUGAUGAAUUAGUAAAACUUCUACUCUUUCCCUUUUUAACAAAUGAACAUAUUUUAAUUUUAAUUAAUUACUCUAAUCUUAUAGAGUUUGAUGAUAAUUUAAUAUUAGUAGACAUGUAUUUAUUUAAACAUAAGUUUGAAAUUAGACAGCCCAUUUAUCUUAAAUAAUAGUGUUUUUCCCUCUCACAUCAAAUCAAGAGGGAUUUCUCAACUAACUUGGCAUAUUGGCAAGUUAUUAUUCCAUUCCAACUUUUUAUUCAUUUCAUGUGUGUGUGUACAAUCCAUUAAUGAAAAUGACUUUUAUUUUUCAUUCAUUAUUAUAUACAUAUAUAUACACAUAUAUCUUAGCACAACUAUUGAAAUGAGGUGAGAUUGAUUCUUCCACCACGAGGAAAAAUAGUUGGAAAUUUAAUUAUGCUUUUUAUUUCAAUUUUUUUUAGAAUCAUUUCAACAAUUCAGAAAAAAAAAAAAUCAACACGUGCAAAAACCAAGAAUUCACUCAUUAAUUGUAUUAGUAAAAUGAUUGAGAUGAAAUAACAAAAUGAUUACCAAAUAACAUGAUUUAUUAAUCUAUCCUCAAAUUACUUUUUAACAGGAAGGAACAUAUUCCUCUUUACAGCCAUUUAACUAUUAAAUCAUUAUAGAUUUGAAGGUAGUUGUUUUAAUACAAGGAAGAAAGUAGAAAAAAAAGAAAGAUAGAAAUGAAUGGAGAUUAAAAUUGGGAAUGGGCAUUAAUUAUGGUAGGUCAGAACCUAACUAAAUUGGUCGCUAUUUAAUUAAAUUUUGCUUGGCCAAACAAUUGAAGCAGUAUGUUAAAAGAGCAUCAUCCCACCACUUACAUCAUUUUAACAUUUAAUAUUAGUACCGACCAUUUCUAGGGACUACCUUUUCUCUACCAUAUUAAUAAAAUCAUCUCCUAAUUUAAUACAUACUAACUUCUUUUUUCCUUCUUCUCUUUUUUUCAUAUCCAAAUAAACAUUUUAUUCCUUAGCCUAACCCCAAACCUUAUUUUCCAUCCCAUCAUUGUCCCCAAAAAAAUAUUUUUUUUUUCUUCUAAUCAUUUUUCUUACUCUUUUAUAUUUACAUUAUUACUCAACAUUCAUUUAUAAAUAUAACAAAAUAUCAAAAUAUUUACUCGCUGGGUAACAAAAUAAAAAAGGCUAUAGUAUUUUCAUAAAUUGUCUUUGGAUAAUGGUUAAGAUUUUUUUACUUUUUUUUUUUGUUUUGUGAUUUAUUCAUCUCCUUUUCAUAUUAUUAAUUUAUUCAAAUUAUUACUUCUUCUUCAUUUUGUAAUAUUAUGAUUAUUUAUGUAAAUAUUUACCAAUUUCUUCAUUUUUUUUCUUCUAGAAUUUCUUUCUUUCUUUCUUAUCUUCUUUUUCUCUUCUUGGUACAAUAUUUAAAUGAUAUUUGUAUAUGAUUUAAAUGAUCAUGUAUCAAUAUCUAAGCGAUCAGUUGUCUAUCCAAGAUAAAUAGAGAUAGACCACUAUCACUAGUAGAUCAUUUUAACUUGGUACAAGAUCGUUUGGACUAGGUAUAAUGGUACAAGAUUGUUUAGAUUUGCUACGAGAUCAUUUAGACUAGGGUAGAAGGGUACACGAUUGUUUAACACAUGGUAUAAGGGUACAAGAUCUUUUAUACUUGCUACGAGAUUGUUGCUAAGAGAUUGUUUAGACUGAGUACGAGAUCGUUUAGACUAGAUACCAAAUCAUGUUUUCAUGCAUGUGUGACUGAUUCAUCAUAGAGUAUUUUUGUUAUUUCACGUUGUGAGCUUGGGGCUUUUUUCUUUUAUAAAAUUAUUCUAUAUAGUAUAAAUAUUUUCAUGCUUUGUUCUAUUUUUUUUAAGGGUUUUUAACUAAGAUAGGCUAAAAUGGUAUACCAUAUUACAAGAUUAACCCAAAAAUUUUGAAUUUUUCAGAAAUAUCCUAAAUUGACUAAUAUUUUACACAAAUAUAAGACGAUCAAUUUACUAAUCUUUAUUAUUAAUAAUAUAUUAAAAAAUAGAAAAAUGAAAAAGAAAAGUGAACCAUGAUUAAUAUUUGCAUUUAUUAGAUAUCUUAUGUAAAUAUUGUAAGUGGUUAAUUCUAUGGUAAUAUUGUAAUAAAAAAAAUUUCCUUAAUUAUUUUUAUUUUGUUCAAAAAAUCUUCCCUCUCGAUCUCCCUCUCACUUUCCAAUCCCUCUUCGUUCAUUCUUUCUUUCGUUUUGCAUUGUUUUUCAUAUAUUCCACCUAAUUAUAGUAUAUAUUGAAUAAUACGAUGUAUAUUUUAUUAAUGAAAAAUUAUUAUAUCAUUUGUUUAUAGAAGGUGGACCGACAAGGAGUAAAAUCAAGGACUUCGGUUACGGUUUAGAAAAUUAAAAAAAGAAAAGGUAAAAGUUUCAUUAUUUGAAUACGUUGAAUAUUGAUUCCAUUUUCUUCAAAAAAUACGCUGAACAAUAGAAGAUUGAGGAAAGUAUAAGCGGUGAAGAAGAAGAACAUCGGUGGUCGACUGGUACAGUGAUCUUUAAAAAAAAAUUGACAAAAAUUUAAGGUUAUUAAGAAUUUAUAUUUCGUAUUCGAAUUACAUUAGGGUAUAUUGAAGAUAACAUUAUUUAUGUAUUAUUAAAUAUAUGAAGUAGUAUAUAUGUAAUAAAUCACAUACAAUAUAUGAACUAUGUAGUAGUAUAUAUAUGUAAGAAUUUAAAAAAAACACUGAUUGGAUACAUAAUCUAUGAAUGCAGUGGUAUAUAAAUUCAGUAAGAAAAAAUCAUAAAACAUGAAAAAAAAAAUCUAUGCAUGUAUUAUUGAAUAUAUGCAUAAAUAUAUAUGUAACAAAUCACAAAACAUAAAUGAAUUAUUUAGUAGAAUAUAUAUACGAAAUAAAAAAAAUAUUGAAUGGAUAUAUAAUUCGUUUAUAUACUCGCAAUAAGAAAAGUCACGUAACAUGAAAAAGAAUAUGUGUAUGUAUUAUUGAAUAUAUAUAGUAGUAUAUAUGUAACAAAUCACAAAAUAUAAAUUUAUUAUUCAGGGGUAUACCAUAGUAUAUACGAAUGACAAAACACUUAAUACAAAUUCUAUGUCGAGCAUGACAGGAAGAUAAACUGAAUAAUAAGAAAAUAAACAAAAUAGAAGGAACAUGAUCGGAAUAUAUGCUAUGGAACAUAAGGUUCUAUAGAUGAAUAAAUUUUUUAAGGAAAAAAAAAUAUGCUACGAAACAGAAGAAGAAAAAAUAUACGAAACAAAAAAUGAAAGAAAAAAACUAACAGUGUAUUUUAUAGUAAAUCGAAAGGAAAGAAGAAAAGAAUUUUUUAAAAUAAAAAUCGGAGAAGAAAGUCGACGCCGGAAUUGAUGAUCUUGAGAAAAAAGCUAUUGGUUUGGGCAUGAAAUUGAAAACAAUUAUUUUGUAGUAUAAUUAAAAGUAUUAUUACCAUAUUUAAAUUAUUGCAAAGAUAAUAAAUAUUUCACUAAUAAAUACAAUAUAUAUAUAUAUAUAUAUAUAUAUAUAUAUAUAUAUAUAUAUUAAUAAUUAAGAAAGUUAUCAUUUAUGUUAAAUUGAGUAGAAUAUGAAUAAGGAAGUAAUUUAAAUUUAAUUUUAAAAAUUAUAUAUAAUUAAUAAUUAUGAUAAAGUUAUAAUUGUUCUAAAAUAGAGGAAAACCAAAAUAAAUCAUAAUUUAUGAUAUUUGUGAAAUUUUCUAGUAGAUUUAGGUAUUUUGUCUAAUUUUUGUUUUUUAAAAACUCUUUUUUAUGAUUAAAAAUAAUAAAUAUUUUAAAAACUUACUUCUCCUAAAUUUUAAUUUAAGUAGAUUUUAUAUAUUUUUAAUAGGGUUCGUUUAAAAAAUAGAACAAAGUGACAAAAUUUUUAUACUGUAUAGAACAAUUUCGAAAACGAAAAAAAGCCUAUCGGUCCACAAUGAAAAAUUCUAAAAAAAGCCUCGAUUAAUUGGCAUGUAGCGCGUAAUAUAUUUGGGAAACCAUCAUUUAAUAUUUGGUAAACCAUCGUUUAGUAAAUCUAAACGAUCGUGUACCAUAUCUAAACGACCUUGUACAAAAAAAUAGUCAAAUUUAAACGAUCGUACCAAAAAACUUUUAAAAAAUUGUUUAGAUUUGACUUCAUCGAUCAAAUAUAAAUCUAAGUAAUUUUUUAAUAUAUUUUUUUAUACACAAUCGUUUAGAUUAAUCAUUUAAAUUUGGAUUGUCAAAUCUCAACGUUUUUUUGUUUUCAAUUUUUUUUGAAAAACAAUCAUUUAUAUUUGGUACACGAUCGUUUAAAUUUGACUAUUCUUUUUUUGUACACGAUUGUUUAGAUUUGAUCGUUUAAAUUUGGACAGUCUAAUCUAAACAAUUUUUUUCAUAAGAUUCUUUGUAUACGAUCGUUUAAAUUUGAGUAUUUAUGUGUACACGAUCGUUUAACGAUUUUUUUAAAGAUUGUUUGGGGUAUAAAUUUGGGUAUGGUCGUUUAAGAUUUGACUAUCCAAUAUCCCAAUGAUUUUUCGUCACAAUCUUUUAUAUUUGUCACACGACCUAAACAACCAAAUAACAUUUAAAAAACAAAAAUUGUCUAUUUGGUACACGAUCUUGACCAAAUAACGGUUUGAAAAAAAAAUAAAAGAGAAAUUAUAGAACAAGAGAAAAAUACGAUGGAAAGAAGAAAACAAAUUGUAGAAGAUGAGAAGAAAGAUGAUGAUAGAGAAGAAGAGGAAGAAUCAAAAUUGAAAAAUCGUUAUAAACCAGUAUGAGCAAAUAUUAAGUUGUUCCAUAGGCCACAAAAUAUUUGACUCUUUUCUUAAUGUUUUUAAACCCUUUUAUACAUUAUUAAUAAUGGAUUAAAAACAAUAAAUAAUUUUCCCUACAUUUUUAUUUUAAUAUAAAAAUCUGCAUAUAAAUAUUAAUGAAAGAUACAUCUUCAUUUUAAAAAAAUAAAAACAGUAUGUGUUUGAUUACUUUUCCUUUUACACGAAAUUGUUUAAAAGUUUGUUUGAUUUAUUAUAUAUUAAAAGUGUUUUUCUAUUAAUUUUAAAUUACUAUCGACAAAUGUGUCCAAGGAGAUGUUGAUGGUAGUGGUAAUUGGAGGUUUGGUCGACAAUGGUGACAAGAAAAAUAGUUCUAAGAGUUGGUUAUCGAUUGCUACUAGGGAUAGUUGUUUGAGACAGAAAACGAUAAUUGUUGAAAAAACGGAAAGGAAACUUGACCAACGUUAGUCACCAAAAAAUGGAAUUAAAUUGAAAAACAACUCACUCGUGCGCUUUGCUUCUAACAACUUGCAAAUGACUUCUUUAUGAAUCUAAUUAAUUAAGGACUUCUGGACGAAAUGAAGGCAAGGAGACAUAGGUCGUUUGGGGUCAAGAAAGAGGAAAAUGUCAAUUUUGAAGUGAAUUUGAGCAGUCUUUUCUUACCGAGGACUACAAAACACAAUACCUGGAAUUUUUAGCUGAAAUUUUGAGGUAAAAAGGGGAAGACAAUUCUAUGAAAGUUUUUGGAAGUUCAUUUUUCAUUUUGAUUAAAUAAAGGUUAUAAGUAUUGAAAGUUGAAUGAUGAUUCUAGAACUUUCACAAUUUUUGAGCAACCCUAAGGUGGUCGAGCAACAAGACUUGAAGGGGCUUGGCGUGCGCAUACAAAGCAAGUAUAAAGAUUAUUUUGGGUGUUCUGGGACAUGCAACACGACCAAGACACAGGUCGAACAACAAGGAUGUGCUUAUGCCGUGUGCAUGGCCAUGCACGCAGAGUGGUUUAGCGCAAGGCAAGGUGAUUGACGAAGAAGAGCACACACGUACAAAGGGCAUGCUGUGCAGUGCCAAGCCACUCGGCGCACAUGACAUGUGUGCAUGCACGACAGACAGAUGGUCAGACAUUCUAAUUCCAUGUGUUCGUACGCAUACCGCAUGCGCUUGUGCCAUGCGGCUAGCAGUGCCAUGACAUGGUUUUUAGGCUACUUUUUUAAAAUUUUGGAUAUUUUUCAUGGCCAAAGAAUUUAUUAAGACUUAAAUAUGAAUUUUUUAGGUCAAGGAGAAUUUGAAAAAAAUUCUAAGCUAAGGACCGAGUAUUGUGAGUGAAAACAUUGAUUUCUAAAUUGAUUCCUAACCAUGUUUUAUAAGCUAACGAUGAAAGUUUGAAGAAAAAUAUUUGAGUUUACCAAUCUCUAUUGAAAUUGCAAGGCAUGGAUGUUUAAAUAUUUAUAAGCUGAAUUUAUGGUUUAAGUAAAGCAUGGUUUAAAGUUGAUUUCCAAAAUUUAUGUUAUAUUCAAAAGUGUAUUUAUGACCAUAUGAAUUGAAAGCAAACAUAUGUUUUUAAGUUUUCAAGCAUGUUUUAAUAAUAAUAAGAAUUUGACAAUAUAUAUGUUUUAAAGAAAUACAAACAAUAGUUAUAAAAUUAGAGAAAACAUGCACUAAUUUUAACGACAUAAAAGAAAAAAUAAAAAGAAAAGAAAAAAAAAGUAAAAGUAAAAAUAAAAACAAAAACAAAAACAAAAACAAAAACAAAAUAAAAACGAAAAAAAAACACAAAAACAAAAUAAAAACAAAACAAAACAAAAAAAAUAAAAUAAAAAUAAAAAAAAUAAAAUAAAUACAUAUACAAAUACAAAUAAAAAAAUAAUUAAUAAAAAUAAAACUAAACUAAAAGUAAAAAUAAAACAAGAACAAAAACAAAAAUAAAACAAAAAAAGAAAAAAGAAAAAAAAGAAAAGAAACAAAAAUGAAAAUAAAAAUAAAAAUAUAAAAACAAAAACGAAAAUGAGAAAAGAAAACAUAAAAUAGAAAAAUACAAAAAUACAAAAGAAAAAUAAUAAUGGUGAGCUUAAAUUGUGUAUUAAGUUACCAAAGAGAAAGGCAUCUCCAGCCUAGCCUUGCCUUGUUAUAAUACCUUUUCCAUAACUACUUUUAACAUUAAUUUAAAAAUUCAUUCACUAAGCUUAUAUUUGUAUUUAAAAGUCGGGUGUUAUGAGGGAAAAAAAGAAAAAAGAAAAACAAAAUAUAUAAAAUAUAUUUGUUAAGCAAGCAGGAAGGGCAUUUUGGGAAGAAGAAUCCAAGUUGUGAAAUGAUUGGAAGGUUUGAAUGUUAGAGGGCAGUGAAAGAGUUGAGAAGAUGAAAGUGAUAAAACAAAAAAGUAAAAGGGUAAUUUAGUAAUUUAGUGUUCAAGUAUAGCCAAACAUUACCCAAUGGUAUCCAAAAAGCAAAGCUGACCUACAAUGCCCCAACUUGUUUUGUUAUCCCAUUGUCUCCAUCUAUAACUGUUACCACUUCCAUGUUAUUUCCAACUAAUUUUUCUUUUUUUCUCUUUUUUUUUGCUUUCAUAUUAAUUCUUUUAUUUUCUCCCAACAUUAUAGUUUAUAAUUACCAUUUAUGAGAAAACUAAUAUAAAAAUAGUAUAUAAGUUUCGGUAACAACUAAAAUAAAUACAAUGGUGUGAGAUUAUUGAAUUUAACAAUAUCAAGUGGUAGAAUAUCGACAUAAUAAAAGUUCUUUUUUUCUUUAACAUUUUUUUAAAAGGUUUUGAGUAAAAUAAGAUUUAAAUUUAAAAUAAAUUAACUUAGAGAAUUUUUAUUUUUUUAAAAGAAAACUUGAAAACCCAAGUGGGUCUUAUGAUUGGGUUUCUGUAAACCCUCCCCAUAAAAGGGAAAAAGAAGUCUAAGAUUCUAUAACCUAAUUAAGCAUAUAUAAAUAAAAAAAUUACAUUGAUUUUUUUUUUUAUUAUUUAAUUUUCAAAAUAUAUUUUUUUGUUUUUGAAAAAAAAGGUAGGGGGGUCAUUGAUCAUGACAGGCAUAUCCCACCAAAGAUAAACAAUUAAUUAAAAAAAAAUUCACCAUAUGUAUAAAACUCCCUUACAUUCAUAUAUCCAAUAACUAACCUAAUAAAAGCUUGGACAGCCAAAAAAAAAAAAAAAAAAAGAAAAAAAGAAAAAAAGAAAAGCCUUUUAUUUUAUUUUAUUUUUUUUGAUCUUCAUCCCUUUUGUGGCUUUUGUGUGUGCUUCUUGUUCUAUUUUUCUUCUCCUGUGUGAGUUGUAAUAAUUGCUCUAGAGGCUCCCAUGGAUGUCAUCGAACCCGGCGAGGCAGCAGUGACGACUGAGGCGGGAGAUGCUCAUGAAGUUGGUGACAGUGGUGGUGGGGGUAGUGGAAACGGAUCGAAUUCCGGCGAAGAAGAAAAGGGGUCAUCUUUGUUGUUGUUCGAAGAUGGUGAGAAGAAUUUUGGUGGGAAUCGAUGGCCAAGACAAGAGACUUUGGCUUUGUUGAAGAUAAGAUCUGAUAUGGAUACAAUUUUUAGAGAUGCAACUCAUAAAGCUCCAUUAUGGGAUGAAGUUUCAAGGUAUUUUUCUUUUUCUUUUUCUUUUUCUAAUUCAUUAUUAUUAUUAUAAUAUUAAUCUUUUCGGAAGGGAUCAAAAGGGGGUAUGAAAUUAUGAUAGAUUCUUUCAUUGGGAUUUGUUUUCAUUUCUCUUGAAUAACUAAACUUGAACUUGGGUUUUGUGAAUUUUGGCCUUCCUUGUUUUUUUUUCCACUUUCAUUUGGAUUUUACUAUUUCAUUAAUGUUUUUGAUAAACAUGUGUAUACUAUGAUUAUGUAUCAUUGUAAUCAUAUUAUUGAACCACUAUGUUUUGUUUCCAAUCCUGGUAAAUUCAUAUGAAAUGAGAAGAGAGAAAAAGAUUAAAGUGAACCAAUUUGAUCUACAUGGCAUCUUCUAACAUGGGUUGUCUGUUUUUCUUUUCCUCUCUUUUUCAUGUUAAAACCUUAAAAUUUAAGUCCCUCUCUCUCUCUUUUUAUUUUUCCAUAUAAUAACAGUUUUUUGAGAUCUUCGUUAUUGUAAAUUAUGAAGAGGGGUGAGUUAAAAAGGAAAACAAAAAAGAUUUAAAAAUAUAUUGUAAUUAAGUUUUCUUAGAUUGAGUUUUUUUUUUCUUUUUCUUAAUUUGAAUUGAGAUAAUUUCAGGAAAUUAGGAGAGCUUGGAUUCAAUCGAACUCCAAAGAAAUGCAAAGAGAAAUUUGAGAAUGUUUAUAAAUAUCACAAGAGAACCAAAGAUGUUAGAAGUGGGAAAUCCGAUAAUAGCAAAAAAGUUUAUAGAUUUUCAGAUGAAUUGGAGGCUUUCGAUCAUCCUUCUAGCCAUCAUCAAAAUCACAUGUUACUUCAAUCUCACCAUCACCACCACCCGUUACCACCAACGCCAACGCCACCGCCACCACAAGUUCUUCCUUCGACGACGCCACCGCCGUCUUACAACCCUCCCGCAACCAAAACAAUCAGCUCUACUGUUCCAUCCACCAUGAAUAACACUACGACAAACAACACUUUGCCACCAAAGUCCUCUAAUAACCCUCUUUCCAAUUUGCCAAACAUGGCUGCCAAUGUGAUAUUUUCGAGCUCCACAUCGUCAUCGACAGCAUCGGAGGAAGAUCCGUUUCAGAGUAGCAGGAGGAGAAGGAAGAAGAGAAAGUGGAGUGAUUUCUUCUUGAGGUUGACAAAGGAAGUAAUAGAGAAGCAAGAGGGGCUUCAACUAAAAUUCUUAGAAGCUCUAGAGAGAAUAGAGAAUCAAAGAAAAUUGAGAGAUGAAGCAUGGAGAAUGAAAGAGAUGACAAGGGUUAAUCAAGAACAUGAAGUUUUAGUUCAAGAAAUGUCCAUGGCCGCUGCCAAAGACGCAGCAGUGGUCGCAUUUUUACAAAAGAUAGCUCCGUUUUCUUCUCCACCAGUGCCAGUACCACCACCACCGACGACGACUCAACCACAAAACAGCGAGAAUAAUGGAAAGUUGAGCUCCACUAUCGGAAGCCAUGUAAUCUCGAUGACGACGACAAAUGGAAAGGUGAUGAGUAGCAUUAUUGUAGGAAGCCCAUCAAGAUGGCCAAAAGGUGAAGUUGAAGCAUUGAUAAGGCUAAGGACAGAAAUGGAAAUGAAGUAUCAAGAGAAUGGGCCAAAAGGGUUAUUAUGGGAAGAGAUUUCAUCAGCAAUGAGAGGGCUCGGAUACAAUAGAAGCUCAAAGAGAUGCAAAGAGAAAUGGGAAAACAUAAACAAAUAUUUCAAAAAAGUUAAAUAUAGUAACAAGAAGAGGCCAGAAGAUUCCAAGACAUGUCCUUACUUUCACCAAUUGGAUGCUCUUUAUAGAGAGAAAGAGAAAAGUAAUAUGAAUUUUGAUAUCAAUAGCCAAAUGGAGCCAUUGAUGGUUGAACCAGAACAACAAUGGCCACCUGCAUUUCAACCCAAUAGUACUCAAGUCAUGGGAAAUAAUUUACAAAGAAUAAGUGGUGAAGCAAAUCAAGAAGAAGAAGAAGAAGAUGAUCAUGGUGAUGAUGAUGAUGAUGUUGAAGAAGAGGAUAUUGGAGGUAGUAGUAGCACAGAUGUUGAAGAUUGAAGAAAUAAAAAAAAAUUAUGGGUUGUAUUCUUCAAUAAGCAUAUAAUCCAAUACACAACAAUUCAAAAGAGGAAACAAAGGUAUGGCACAAAAAGCAACCAACUUUGACACUGAUGGAAGUCAGAUUUGUAUUACAUGUGCUAAAAGAGCAAAGGGGGAAAAUUGGGUAAUGGGAAAAUUUUUAAAUUUGUACAAUAAUUAAUUAUUGUGUUGUCUAUAGUGGGAUUAAUUUAAUUUUCUUUCCUCUUUCUUCUUCUCUUGUUAUUAUAAUCAAAAGGUUAAAGCUUGCCAAAAUUUUAAACAUCAUAGCCUAAACAUUAAGAGUUAAAUUAGGAAUUCACCAACUCAUUAAGGUAAGAAGGCAAUAAAACAUAAGAUUGAUAGUUUUUUUUAUCAGUGGGAUCAAUAAACUCCUUAAAACAAACUAUUGGAGUUUGGAAAUUCUCCUUAAUCUUUUUGGUAAACACAUCUUAAAAUUUUGAAUUAUAAUUUGUAACAAAAUUUUAUAUUCCACCUAUAAUGAUAGACACCUAUCAUAGAUAAAAUGUAAAAUUUUACUAUAAUUUAUAAACAUUUUUAUUCAUUUGGUUAUAUUUGAAAACUUCUUUUGGGGAAGAAGGGGAUAAUGGUAAACAUGUUAUCGAUUUAUAUUUUUGGAGAGCAUGGAGAAAGGAAGGAAAGAAGAGAAGGAGAUGAAAAGAGAAUGUAAUGGAAAUUAUAUUAAGGGAAAGAAGUAAAAAAAUAGAAAAAUAGUGAAAAUGAAAGGGGAAAAGAUAUUGUUGUUUGAAUACAUGGGGCAAGUAAAAUGAAAGGGGUAUCACAAGUGGGAGAGAAACAUGGCUUUUAUAAAAAAAAAAUAAAAUUGGCUUUUUAUAAUGCUAAUGAUGGCCAAUGUACUGCCUUUAUAUAUUUCUUUAUAAAGAAGAACAAUUGAGGUGCUUUAUGGACAAAAAAUUGAGCUGAAAAUGAAGUAACAACAAAGCCAGAACCAGAUCCUCUUCCAUUUACUAUAUAAAAAGAACUAUAAAUUAUGGAUCAUCCAAUUAUGGAAAUCCUAUUAAUAUACAUAUAUAUCAAAACGAAAUUCAACUUAUCAUUGUUACAUCAAUAAAAAUACCCCUAAAUGAAUUUUAACUUAUACUACAUUGUAUAAGACUGAUUUUUUUUAAUAUAAGGACUGAUGUAAAUUAGACUAGAACUAGCUAACUAGCUAGUACUUUUUUCUUUUCUUUGUUAUUAAAUUUGGGAGAUUUUUCAUCUAAACAUUUUCCUUACUUAUCUAGAAAGGUUCAUGUGAGAUUUUUUUUUUCUUUCCUACUUUGGUGAAAUUUUGGAAUAUACCCUAAGUAGAAACUCAAAUGAUAAUUAUGAUCUAAAUUCAUUUAUUCAAAGUUUUCUUUGAUCUCUUCUACAAAGGUAGUUUGGGUUAGAAAGGAAGUUUUGAAUAGAGUUUUCCUUUGUUGAAUAACCUAUUUGAGAUUAUCCAAAUGCUUUUUAUUCUUUCGAAAUUUAUGAAGAAGGUAUCGAUAUAGGCCGUUAGAUAUUUGUUAGAGAUAAAGAUGAGGAGCCGAAAGUGAGUUGAAAUCAAUCCAAUCAUGAUGUUGAAUUUUAUUUAGGUUGAAAACUUUCCAAACUUUGGGAUAUUCAUGGUUCAAUUAUAUAAUUUUACUCUCCAUAUUUUAAAGUUUAUCUAUGUAUUUGAUAACUCAAAAUUAUAUUUAUCUUAAAUUUCAGUUUAUAUUUUAUUUUUAAUAUAUAGCUAUAUUAAGUAAAAUUUAGAUGGAAUGGUGUAUGUAACGAGUUACUUGUUGAAAAAUAGUUGUUAGAUGUUUGUAGUAUGAUAAAUAAAUUGUAAAUGAUUAGAACUAACUUUGAAAAGUUUCAAGAUCUAACCGUACAUAACUUAUGAUAAAAAGAAAAAUUGUAUUUGGGUAGUCUUUUGAGAAUAUGAUAGAGCAAAUAUAGCAUAUUGUUUUAUAAUUUUUGCAAAUAUGAUAAAAUUCUCACAUUUUAAAAUACUCUUCAUCUUAAAUUUGUUAUCAUUCCAAAACUACUAUUCAAUAAUUCAUUUCUUCUUCUCUUUUUAAUACCCUAAUCAUCCCUUAUUUCAGGUCAUAAUCAUUCUUUUUGAUCUUAUGAGAAAAACAAUUUGUUUCUUCAAUAACGUACACAUUUCUUCUCCCUUUUUUAAGAUCCUAAUCAUCCUCUCUUACACGGAAAAACUGGUUUGUUCUUCCUCAUUGGUAGAUUACAGUUGGUGUCAAAAAUUGUUCUCCCUCACUGGUUUGCAAAAAUUGGUAUGGAGUUUUCAUCGUCAUUUUCCCCUUCUUCUCUGAAUCGCUGAUAUGAUUUUUUUUUCUUAAUGUUUUAUUCAUUGUGAUUUUUUUCCUUGGUUUUGUAGUGGUGUACUGAUAUUUUGCAUGCACGGAUUCUUCAAUUCUCUUUUAUAUUGUAUCAAUUUUGAUUUUAGAAUAUCAAUGGUACAUGGAAUGCAAAAUGAAAGAUAAUGCUUGUUGAUCAAAGUAAUUUAACUUUGUUUGUGAUUGUUAUCUACUUUCUUCGAUAUGUAUUUUGGAGUUGAACCUGAUUUCAAAUUAUUUUGUUUUAUAUUUUUACGUUGGUUCUGUUUUGAUUUUACUUUGUAUCAUUUUUGUAUAUUAGUGUUGUGAUGUGCUUAUGUUAUAUGUAUUAGUUGGUUGAUAUUCUUACUACAUGAUUUUUAUAUUUUCAAAUUUUAUGCAGUUUAUUGUAGUAUUAUUAAGUAUAUAAACGAUAUAACUUAGUGUAUCAUUAUCAAGUAUAUCAACAAUAUACUAGUAAUUAGCAUAUUAAUAAAGUGAAUCAUUAUCCAAGUAUAUCAAUCAAGUUACAAGUGUAUAUGAAUAAUGUAUCAAGUUUAUUAGUAGGACUUCAAACAUAUCAAAUAUAUUUAAUCAAUCGAGUGUAUCAGAAGAAUACUAAGUGUAUUGAUAACUUGUAGAAAUACAAGUUAUUUAUGGUCUUUUAUGUAAAAUAAUUAAGCCUUGCCACAUAAAAAUAGAAGAAAACAAGGAAAAAAGUAAGUAAUUUGAUUAACUUGUGCAUCACAUCUUACAAAAGAACUUCAUCAUUGUUUGAUCACAUUUUACAUGUUUUAUCGUAGAAUAAUUGGCAAAAAAAAGUAGAGCUUGGUGAUAGAAGAUUAUGCGAGGAGAUCUGCCCAGCCAAUGCGACGACAAGCAAUCAAACUAGUCGAUCUGAUGCAGUUGCAGACAAAUUUAGUUGACAUGAAUGUUAGAAAAAGGACAAAAAUACAUCUAUGCAGCGAUGAUGCAGCCUUUCAGAGGCAUUAAUGAAGCAUAGGAUAUUGUGUCAAAAUCAUUACAUUCCUCGUUUAUAAAUUGAAGCCUCUACUUCAGACCAAGUGUACAAUCUUUGGAAUGGAGAGCAAGUUCAUGAUCUUCUAUUCUUUCUUUUUGAGUUUUAGGUGACGAUCGAAGAAAUAAAAUUCUCAUAGUGGAUUCCCAUAGUGGAAGCGUGUGAAUGUCGUACAAAUAGAAUUCAAUUUUAAAAACAAAAAGAGUUAAGAGAAAACAAAACUAAACAUGCUAAGGAGGAAGAAAAGGGAAAACUAACAUUUGUAGAAUUUCUCCUCGGAACAAUUCUUUGGAUCUUUGAACACCACGAAAUCUUCCUUAUUAUCCUCAAGGUAAAAAUCAACAGAGAGUUUGUGAGGCUUCUGUAAUUUUUGGUUUGGUGAAAAAGAAAAUUUUUUAGAGAGAUUUUUGCAGAGAGAUAGAACUAAUGCAGAGUAGAGAGAGCAUGCCAAAAAAAUAUAUCUCAACCAUAAUGAUAAAAGAGAGAUGUUGGGGGAAGUUAUCAAGUGAUAACUUCAUCUCCGUCAGGUGUGGGAGAUAUUUUAUUAUUUCAAAUUCUAUUAAUUUAAAAUUAGUAUAAAUUUAAACUAUAUUAUAUCAUAUAUAUAAUAUAACCAAUGAUUUAUAUCUCUUAUAUAAUCUAUAGUUCUAAUAUGAAUUGAAUCCAUAUUAAUUUUAACUUGUUUACUUUUUAAUUUUUAUUCGUAUUAUUUUUAUUAUUAUUUGAAUCAUAUUCAAAUAUUAACUUCUCUCAUAAAAACUUGUAAUAUUCAAAUAUUAACUUCCCUCAUAAAAAUUUUAUAUUACAAUGUUUCAAAUACAUUAUAUUAAUUGUAUCAUAUGCAAUUUAUUUUCUUUAAUCAACUUGAACAAUUCAAAUUAAACCAAAAUAAAUUCGUUUCUCAUUUAUCCUUAUUGAGCUAACAAGGGGACCUUAUAGAUCUAUCGAUUGAAGCUUCAAUGAUAUGAGAUUAAUUAACUAAACUUUUUAAUUAAAUUAAUAUCUAUUCAUUAACUAUCAGCUAUUCCACUAAAGACUUAAAGCACUCUUCUUACUAUAUAUAUGUUUUUGUUUUCAUUAGAUAUAAGCAAUCAACAGUGCAAUGACCCUUCACAAAUAGCUCGUAAGUACAGCUAGGCCAAAAAUUUCCAUUUUGCCCCUGUAGUUACAUAUAACUCCUCAAGUACCACUGAUUCUUCUAAUGAACAAUAAUUAUAGUCCCACUAUAACUGAACUCAUCUCAGGCCAAGAGAGGGUAUGGCGCCACAUUGUUCAAGCCCUGGAAUCAACCCUUAAGAGAGUAAUUUCUCUACUUACUCUAUCUAUAGAGAAGAACUGGAUUCCUUUUUGUGUAACAGUGUUUCCAGCUUCCCAAUCAGACGAAUUCACAAAACGGUAGGCAUAUUGAGUCGGCGACAUAGACCACUCUCUCCCAUGAAAAUUAAAGGAUCACCUUCUUAGGCAGAAGUUCACAACUCACUCAGAAUUUAGGUCAAGCCACCUAUGGUCAUCCUGGUGAAAUGUAGUCUUAACUAGUAACAGUGUUAAUAAGAGAGACUAUUCAUUCCAUGGUUCGGUCUUAUACAAACUCUUUGUAUAGAAUACCCUACUCUAAUGUCUUGACAUUAAUGAUUAGGAUCAAAUCAUUUGUUGCACUUCAGAACAAUUGUAACAACUACAAAGUAGGUUGUAUUCGUAGUGUCACUAGGAUAAGAUAUCUAGCCUUAUCAAUCUACUACAGACCAUUUAGGUUAUCACUUGUAUGUCACCAUAUACAUGUUUAGGUUAUAGAAGAUAACCUUGGAUGUUAGUUUAUUGGUUUUGUGAGUUAAUGCAACUAAAUGUCAAAUAAAAUAAAAUACUUUAUUUUAUUAGAUAAAUAAAAUGUUUGUAUAAUAUAUACAAUUACAAACUACAAGACCACGUAAUUUAGGACAUCAACUCCAACAAGAGAGUGAGAGUUCCCCUAUCCAUUUUCCCUUACUAUCAGGCAAAAAUCAGAGCCAAAGAGUAUGAGAAAUCAUACUUUAAUGCUUAACACACUUCUUUAUAUUCCAUUUUAUAUCUUUGUUUUGUUACUUUGUAAUAUGUAUUCCAUGGCCGAAAGGUCUAAAAAUAUGUUUAUAAUAGUAGCGCAUUUCUUCUAUCAUUCUUCCAUUUCUCUGUUUUUAUUCAUGUUCAAUCUGUUUAAUGAGCAAUGCAAUGUGUUUUUAAUAAUAGAGAAUCUGAAUAUAUGUUCUAUAAAUUUUUUUUAGUUAAACAGAUCUCAACACAUUGUGUAUUCGAGAGAAAGACAAUGGCAUUGAUCAUAAUCACAUGACAAGUGAAAACACGUAAUAACUAAGCAAGCGAUAAGGAGAUUGUAGUAAUACAAUCUGAUUGUCGAAUUCAUCCUUUGCAUAAGUUGCAGAGAUGUUAAUGUGUGUGGCGAAAGCACCAAGAGGUUGCCUUCCUUAAUUAACGAUAAGUUACUUAUAAUACAAACAAGUUGAUUAGAUGCAAAUCAUAGCUUAACUUUAAGUAUUUGGAUCUCGAAAGGCAAACAAGUAUGACAAAGGUGUCGAAAGGUCACCCAUCUUAAUUCUAAAGUUAGGGAGGGGAAUGUUUUUUUCUUUUUUUUCUGAGGGAGAGGGGGAAAACGUAGGGAAGAGGGAAAAAUAAAAAAUAUAAUUAGUUUUUUUUAAAAAAUUUAUGCCCACAUUAUUUGCGUCAUCAAAAAAAUAAAUUUUGAGUUGCAAAAAACUUGGAUUUUUCGACAGGUAAAUUACGUCCAAAUAUUUAAAAUAUCUUCGCACAUACAACACGUGACCAUAAACUAAAAUAAAUGUCGGUUGAACUUCAACUUAAAAAUUAUUCUUAUAACCACACAACUUUUUGCCCACGUACAUAUUUUCGUAAGCAAAAACAAUGAUAUGCCCACAUAAUAGACUAGUUUUUACCCACGUCUAUGUUUUACUCGCCAAAAAACAAAGAUGUGCCAAUGCAAUGAAAUUUAUGUUGGCAUAUCAUAUCUCUGCCCCUAAUUUUUUUUAUGUUGGCAGAAAAAACUAACAUCAGAGACAAAAAUUCUUGUAAUGCAUGCAAGGACUCCUUUAUAAACGGUACUCUGGAUAAUUAAUGCUCACUUAAAAAUAUCUUAAAGUGAGUCUAGUUUUAAGGACAGAGAUUCAAAGAAAAGAAGACGUGAGGAAGGCAAGUGUUGAGGGGAAGAAAGUCACAAAGGUCAUAUUCAAACGAAAUCUGGGUAGUACGGGGUAUUUUGGAGUUACAAAACUCAAAACAUUGAGUCCUUUACUGAAAUGUUGAGGUAAGCUAGUUAAGACAUUUCUAAGAAAGUUAGAAGGAAGUUUCUUAAUUGAAAUUCUAGAUUUUUAGUUAUUAAGUUUAGAAGUCGAGUAAAGAUUCUGGAUGAAAAUCCAAUUUAUGGGCAUGAUCCAAAGAUGGGCCGAGUGUUAGGAGAUCAAGGAAAGAUGAGCAUGCAAGAUAGACGAAAGAGGUUAUUUAGGCCUUGAAGCAUGUAAGAGCCCAGCCCAUCGCAUGACCAGGAGGUGUGAGGCACCUACCAAGGCCAUGCGGGCACAACCAUACAAGCGCUGACAAGGGCAGUCAUGCAAGCAGACACGAAACAUAGGGCAAACCCUACGUACGAGAACACACAACAUGGUGUGUUGUGCGAUUGUGAUGCGGGUGGCAUGUAUGGGCAUGCAAGGUUAACAUGCUGCCAGGCCCAAAGCUUUGUGCCCUUUCGUACAACUUGCCUCCCAUGCAUUGCGUGUCAACCAACCUCUAUGCCAUUUUUGGGCAUUUUUUAGUGUUUUUGCAAUUUUUGCUUGGAGUUUGGAUAUUUUCUCGAUCUUAGGGACUAAAUGGAAAAUAAAUACCCUAUUUAUAAGAUAAGUGGAAUUUGGAGAAUUUUCUAAGGCCAAGGAGUAAACCUCAAGUUUGUGAGUGACUCAUGCAUUUAAUGGGUUCUAAAGUAUAUUUCAAGCUUGAUUUAUUAAUCACAAUUUCAAGCUACGUAAGCACUAGCUUGUGAAUGAUUUGCAUUUCAACAUUUUGCUUAAAUGCCUAAGGUUGCUAAGCUUCCAAGUUUGAACUAUUAAAUGAUUCAUGAGCAUAAGUUUGAUAACGAGUUUAUUCAUACAUGUUUUAUAACCUAUCUUUCCAGCAUGUGUUAUAAAAGAUGAAGUUUGAAAGCUUAAAUGUUUUUCAUUAGGCUAUACUAGAACUAUAACUACUACCUUUUAAUGUGCACAUAUGAUUUCCAAUUACUGCGCUUGAUAGAGGGCUCUAGGAUGAUUACAUCAGUGAAGGCACUAAUGUUUAUGGAGGAAGGUUCAAUUUGUAUUGGCCUAUGUUAAAUUAUGAAUGUAUAGUUAGAAGCUGGUACAUAAUAGCUUAAUGUAUGUUUGAAUGAUUAAGGAUUUCUGAAAUAUUUCUAAACCCCUUACUAUGUUAAGAUUACAAUGAUUUAUAUGUUCAAAACUAAGAAUUGAGCAUAACUAUUUAGAAAAGUAUGUUUUAGAAAACUGUCAUUUAAUGGUUAUUUUUAGCUCAUACUUUCUAAAUGUUUUUCCACACUUUUCAUGUGAAGAUAAUGUUUUUUUGGGCUGAGCUUAUUGUUGUCGCACUGACCAAUCCAAUAGGAAAAUGUGCUAUGUGAUCAUGUUUGAGGUAGUAUAUUGAUAACUUGUACAAAUACAAGUGACAGAGACUAAUGUGUGUGCAAAGUGUCAUGCAAACCGAUUAAGGCCAUUUUAGCGUAUUAAGUAUGCAACAAAAUCAAUCAAAAUAAACAAUUAAUCACAAGUUGCAACUUGAAAGAGAUAGUUCAAAUAAAGAAAAUUCUUACCGUUAGCUCCAAUAAAAAAAGAAUUUAUAAGGUUCUUUGCAUUUUACCAUAGAAAGCGAAAGCAGAGGGUCAUACCCAAGGAAAUGGAAGGGUAAAGUUGAUCUUGAACUUCACUUGAGAGAAUAGUUCUUAGUAGAAAAAGGAAAGCAUUAAAGAAAAUGUAGAGAACAUCAAAUUGAACAAAGGAUUAAGGGAAUUUGAAAUGUAAAUUCAGUCCUAAAAACAUAAGUAGAAAUUAAACUCUAUGAGAAAAACAAGGUGAGGGGCAAUGUGUGUUAUUCAAUUCUUAUCAUCGAAUUUAAAAAAAUAUGAAAUAGUUUUUGCUAUAAAAGAAGAUUCUUGAUCAAGGUUCUUGUAAGAUCAACUUGUUUGAUUCUUGUUAGAGCCUUGAUUAAGAUUCAAGAAAAGAGACAAUUACCACAUGCAUUUAUAGUGUUGAAAUAUCGACCAAGGUGAGAGAAACCAAAACAACCCUAUUGUAAUAAAUAGUUUUCGAAUGACCUUAUUUUGAUAAAUAGUUUUUGAAACAGCAUUAUUAAUAUAAUUUAUCCAUAAACAUAUAUUUUUUUAAACCAUUAUUCUCACUCUUAAUUAAAUCCAUCGUAUUUUCUCGUCCAAUUAAAAUCAACCAUCUCUCUCCUCAUUAUUUAUCUUAUUUUCCAACAAUUAUAAUUACAUGCCAUCAAAUAAUUAACUUUACUUUUCCAACUAAAUAAAAUCCACGUUCUCUUUCCUCAAAUAAAUCUCAUAUCAAAUCAACUUUUAUUAUAAAAAAAUAGUUAUCUUUUCUAAAUAUCAAAUAUUCUCUCUCUUCAUUGCACUUGUGUUGGACGUGUGCCCAUUGCAUCUUACGCAUCCUCUUUGUGCGCAGGCUGUGCAUCCAACACAAGUGUAAUGCAGACGCUAACCUCUUUUAAUCCAAAACACACGUCCAUCACGUCUAGCAGCCUCUGACACUCGGCCAGCCACUAACACUACCCAAAGCACCAUUUUUUAGCCUAAACCUUACCUUCACUUUAGAUCUUAAUAUCUUAAAAUUCAUAACUCAAAUGAAAAUUUUCCUUAUAGAAAGUUGUUGAAAAGUGUCUUACCUUCAAAUGGCAGCUCCAAACUCUAACAAUGAGCUUUGUAGCACUCUAAAAGUCCACCUUGCUCGGAUUGACCAAAGUUCUGAUAUGUCUUCCUUUCUUCAACUCAAACUCGACUAUCUCUUACUCAAAAUCUUCCGAUAGCCAUAAUCUAAAAACUAGGCGCAAUUUGUGAUCUUUUGAGUGGAAUUUCAAUAAAAACCCACGAGUGGUUUAGGAGAAAUGUCCCACCUUCAUCAAUAGUUCGCAAAGAAAACACACUACCUCCUCCACCUCUCAAAUCACCACCAAAUUCUCCCAUCUCCUAAAGUCAUUGUAGUCCUCCCUCACUAUAUCUACAAAGAUUUACCCCAUCCUUCGCCGUCUUUCCAAAAUCCAAACUCCUUGAAGCUCUUCAGCGCAACGAACUUCUGUGUUUCCUUGCCAUUUACCACUUAAACCUCUAGUCAUCAAUUUAGACCCCAAUCGUCUUGAUUUAAAUGUACCUAUAGUUAACCUUUCUGAAGGGGACACUAAGAGUGAAAACACAAAAGAUGAUGGAGCGCCACAUAACACUACGACCAGUGAUAAGCAAUUACGAGAUCAGGAAGCUUGGUUGACCAUUUAUGACUCAAUCUUCCAUGACAGACAUUUUGGUAAAGAUGCAAGCGAUACAAGUUCAGCGAGGGAAGCACAACCUAAAGUUAAUUAAGGAAAGGAGAUUGACGAAAGGUUUUGUGAAUUACUCACAAAUGUAGUCAUGAAGCCCAUGCAAGCUACCUUUGAUGAAGUGUUUGAAGAGAAUGUGGCGUUAACAUAACAAAUCACAAGCCUCAACACAACUGCAUCGGGGCUUAAUGUCAAAGUAGGUAGUUUAGAAGCCACACAAUCUCUCAAGUCUCCUCGGCUUUUCAGUAUCUCACAAGUUUGAUGAUUGCACAGUCAAACCGAUCACAUUAAAUUUUAGAACGACAUGAUAGGUUGUAAGACCCGCACCUAAAAUUUAAGUUAAGAAGUGAAAGUUUUGGUUGAGUGUUUAGGUUAGGCAUUUUAUGUGGUCUUCGAGAGAAGAUACAAGAAUUUUGUGGAGAAGCAUAUUGCGAGGAAACUGUUGAAGUGGUUAGAUGAUAAGAAGUUGAUGUGUAAAGUAGUUUGCAAGGUGGGCUUUUAAAUUGUAGGUGACCACGCGGUAAGGAUAUUCACAAGAAAGGUUGGGCGAGUGAGGUUCUUCGCGGAAUGAAGUUUGGCGAGAAGAGGUAAUGAAAGUUCAGAGGAAUUUUUUAAGUAUGAAAAUGGGCCACGUGUGUAGUUCAAGCUAAGCAUGAUUAAUGACACAUGUUAAGUUUACAUGUGCUCCAUUAAGAAGCAAGAGCUGGCAAUCUGAGAAGAUUUUAAGCAUGACUAAGCUGGUUUAAGAGCUCUAUAAAUAGAGGACCUCGAUCACUUUUUUUGGUAAUUCUUUCAAAGAGAAAAUGAAAGUGUUGAAGUGUUGGUUUAGCUACGUGAGAAGAGGCUUGCGAAAAAAGGAAGCACUUUAGUUUGUGAGUGUUUUUUCUUCUUGAAAGUUUUGUGAAUAGUUCUCUUAAAAACUUUCAUAUUAAGAUCUUUAUUAUGAUUUCUCUUUACUAAUUUGAAAGAUAGAUUCAAAUGAGAAGUGUUUCAAAAGAGACUUCUAUGAAACGUUUAUAUGUUUUCAAACAUGAUUUAUAAUGUUGAAGAUUGAUUUGAUAAUUAUGAUUUCAAUACUAUGAAAUGGUUUUCAAACAAUUAGUUGUUUCCUUGGAAUGAUGCUAAUUAUUAUAUGCACGUAAAGAGUCAAGGUCACCAUGCGUUGUAUGGGUCUACAUUGUGAUAAGGACUUGGCUUAUACAUUGAAAUGAGCAUAUAAAGCUUAGUGGUAUGAGCAAUAAGAACGAAUUUGUAUACUCUUGAAUGCUGAAAAACUCAAUAGUCUAAACGUGAAGUUACGUGACCUAGCGUAAAGAGUGAUUCAAGAUCAUUGGCAGGGGUAAUGUUUGUUAACUAAUAUGUGUAUACUUGAAAUGACUCAUUUAUGCGAAAAGAUGUGUUAUGCGAAAUGAUGUUUAUGCGAAGCAAUAUAUUCUUAUGAUUUGAUAUAUUAUCUUGUCCUAUUGAAUUGAUUUGCGAAAUGAUGUUUAUAAAAUGGUAUUGCAAAAAGGAUUUCAUAAAACCUCACUAAGUCUUUUAGACUUAUUAUUUAAAAUUUAUCUUCUAGAACUUACGCGUUGAGGCCAAGAGAAAUGAGAAGUUUGGGCUUACCAGGCGAAAAGCUGUCAAGCCUUUAGUUAAAAGAUUAAGUGUAUUGUUUGUAUUUUUGUUAAGUAUUGUAUCUGUAUAUUCAAGUACUAGACGCCUUGUUGGUAAUGAAAGUUAAGGUUUGUUUUAUUUUUUCCCUUUAGUUCUUUAUUGCCGAAAGUACUUUUGUUAAGUGUUUGGCAAUUAAGCUAAGUUGAGGAAGUUAAGACGAGUGUCUUUGGCGUUUCACUGUGUCAAGGAUGCUCAAUUCGCACCACGUCUAGCGAGACAAGAAAGCAGGUCUGCGGGGCGAGGUGUGAUAUAGACAGUUAUUACACAAAUGAAAUAUACAAGUGUAGUCUUUAUACAUCGUGUACCUCAACCUAUCAUAGCCUCUAAGCUAAUGAUGCCAUUCCCUCCCAUUCAUCCUAAACAUCUGCCUCCUCGCAAGGCUGAUCUUCACCUUGAGAAUUAAAUUUGGGGGUGUGAUGUGUUUGUAUUUGUACAUUAUUUGCCUUUUUUUUUUUUUUUUUUUUUGCUCUUUUGUUGUAUGCUUUAUUAUAGUAGUUAAUCAAUUGCAUCAAAGUCUUUAUUUUUUUUUAAUCAUGCAUUUUGCUAUUCUUGUUCCUUGUUUCAUUAUUGGAUUCUUUUUAUGUUUUCUUUUGUACUCGCAGGGAUAACUUUUAUGAUGAACCUUAUGCUAAGUUAGUCUACUUUGUACCUUGCAAUGACAUGUUUUAUUAGCAAAAUGAACUUCGUAAAUAGUUCUUGUAGUCUUUAGGCGAGCAAGCUUGAGCUCAAACAUCUUUUGUAAAAUUUUCUAGGAUCAUCUUAACAUUCACUUUUUUGCAAUGAGGAUCUUGCACAACUCUAAAUUUGGGGGUGUGCAAGGUCUAAGCUAAAGCAUUCAAAAAAUCAAGGAACCUUUCUUGUUCACGAAUUUAUAUUUACAAUAAAUGGCCUACUAAUUCUUUCAUUUGAACUUCAAUUGAAAUAAAAUCUCCUAUAUUGUCGCCUCUCACUAAAGUAAAUUAGAAGCUAAGCUUUAUCAAAAUCUGAGAGCAAGUAAAUAAGUGGUGAUAAGAGUUAUAGUUGAGAAGAGGAACAGAGUCAUAGAGUACCUAUGUUUUCCCACUCAAUGCACAACUCAAGUAAAUAAAUGAAGCUAAUAAAAAUGUUAUAAGAAAAAGAAAGGAACUAAGAGUUUUUGAAACAAAGGCCAUUUCGCAAAAAAAGAAAAUAAGAUAUAAUAAAAAUGAACAAGGAUAUUUUGAGACUUAAGCUUGCUGCUUUUAGAAUUUGGAAAUAUUUUUAAGUUUAAAGUGGCAAGGAAAAGAAGAAAUGCUACAACACAAGAUGGAAUAGAAUUGCAUUCUGAAAAGUUUAGCAAGUUGCAUAAGAGAAACCAUACUUAGAAUCAUGAGAUGAUGCUUGAGAACAAACGUUCUUUUAAAUUUGGAGGUGUCAUAACUUGUAUAAAUACAAGUUAUUGUAGCCUUUUAUGUAAAAUAAUGAGGUCCAAAGGCAUAAGAACACAAGAAAACGAAGAAAAAAAUAGGCGAUUUGGCUAACUUGUGAAUAAACUAGCGUGAAAGAGCCUUAUCCCUUUUUUAUCGUGCUUCAGUGAUCAUAUCAGGAGUAGUCUUGUAAGCAAAAGAAGUGAAACUUGGCAAUUUAAUGUUUAGACGAGAAGAAGCGGCCAACCAAGGCAUGUGACAAAGAAACUAAGUUGAAGUGAAAGUUGAAGAAGUACAAAGACAGUAUGUGAAGCGCCAUUGUAGCUUUUUAGAGUAUUAAAUGGAGCGUAACCUCCUGUCAACAUCAACUCUCAAUUAUAAAUAAAACCCCUCACUUUAGAUCAAAGUGUGCGUAAUUGUGGCCAGAGAGCAAGCUCGAAUAUCAUCCAAACUCCAUUUUCCUUGAGUUUUUAAGAGAGAGCCAGAAGCAAAAGAGAGAGAGUUAUUCCCCUCAGUAAUAGGAAACAAUCAAAGCCAAGGAGGAUGAGAAAUCAUACUCUGAGGCAUAGUUCAUUCUUCUUUCUUCCAUUUUCUUUUUAUAUUAUAUUGUAUUGUAUUAUGUAUUUGACAUCAAAAGACCUAAAGUUAUGUUAUUCAAUAUAUUGCAUUUUAUACUUCAUUCACUCGUAUUCUUGUUUCUUCUUUCCUUUGUCAUGUUCAAUUAGCUUGAGAUUAUAAAGUGUAUUUGGAUGAGUAUAUGAUCAUGAUGUUUGUAUUUUGAGUUUUGCUAAGUUAAGUGUGAAUGUCAAGAUCAUUGUUUAUUUGAAAUAAGUGCAAUGAACUUGGCCGUAAUCAUCUGACAAAUGAGAACACACAAUAAACCACACGUUUAGCAAAAAGAUUGUAGCGGUGUAUUGUUAUUGCUAAGUCCAUCAUUUACAUACAUUACAAAAAUGACAAUGUGUGUGGCAAAAGCAUUGAGAGGUUGUCCGCCUUAAUCAAGGGAAAACAACUUAGAAUUGCUUUAACAUGAUCAGACAAAAAUCAUAGCCCAACUUUGUGUACUUUUAUCUCAAAAGGUGAGCAAGUAUGGUAGAACGCAACGAAGCAUUUUGUAUUAAUUCAAAGUUGAAGUAUGCUUUAUGUCGCCUUGAUUCUUUGAGUGCAGUUUAUCGCCUUUAGAUAGUUAAACUAUUCCUUCUUUGUCAUGCCAACAAUGAGUUCGAAAUUGCUAUGAUGAAAAUAUAAUAUCUUGAAUUAGUAUUAAUCUUGUUGUUUCAUAAUUUUUCAUUAAAUUAGGGAAUUUGGUUCGACAAAGGUCAAUUGAUUGAAUAUCGAUCUUUAUUAGAAUCAGUUCAAUAAUUAGAAUUUGACUAAAACACCCAAUUCCCUACUUUUUAUUCUUGAAAGAAACACUUCUUUGUAUUUUUUUUUAAGGGGUUUUUUUAAAAAUAUAACAAAGCGGUAAAAUAUUUACACAGUAUAGAACGAUUUUCAAAAUCGAAAAAGCCCACAAGCCUACAAUGAAAAAUACAAAAAAUGUCUAAUGAUUAAUUAGCAUCCAGCGCACGUAAUAUAUUUGGAAGGCGAUAGUUUAGAUUUGUCUAGCUGUUCUUUUCUACUGGACGUUUAGAUUUGAUUAUUUAGAAUUGACAAGAUUUUUUGCUACGCAAUCGUUUAUAUUCGAUCGUUUAAAUUUUGGUAGCCAAAUAUAAAUGAUUUUUUCAUAAAUUUUGGUACAUGAUCGUUUAUAUUUGGAAAAUGAUAGUUUAUAUUUGAAAAAUAAUCGUUUAUAUUUGGAAAACGAUUGUUUAGAUUUGAUAUACAAUCAUUUAUAUUUCAAAAAAGAUUUGAUAGUUUAAAGUUGGCUACCCAAAUCUAAAUGAUUUAUUUCAAAUUCUUUGUACACGAUCGUUUACAUUUGAUUAUUUUGACACAUGAUAGUUUAGAUUUGGCUAUCCAAUAUCGCAACAUUUUUCUUUUCACGAUCUUUUCUAUUUGGCACAACCAAAUAAUAGCUAGUUUGAAAAAAAAGAAUUAAAAAAAAGAACUUUACACGAUCUUGAACCAAAUAACAAUUUGAAAAAAUAAAAUAAAAGAAAAGUACAGAAGAAAGAGAGAAAAAGACGAUGGAAAGAAAUAAAAUCGUAGAAGAGAAAAAGAAGAAAGACGAUGAAAACGAUGGACAAACGUGAAAUAUUUUUUUUAAAAAAAUGGCUAGUUUCAUAGACUUUUUCAUUUUGUUAUAGCAAAAAAUAUACGAUAAUAAGAUCCAUGUGAAUACAUUUUCUAAAUUGCAAAAAUAGCAAAUUUAAAAGUCGAUAACUCUCUAAUAGUCAUUUGAUAGCUCUCUAAUAGUCGUCUGAUAACUGUCUGAUAUCACUAAUUUUGUCAUAUUCAUAAUAUGCAAAAAAAAAAAAAAAAAGUGUAAUGAGCUGUUUUUUUCUAAAUGGUUUUGUCAUUUGAUGCAAUUUUUCUUAAUUCUUUUCUUGUUCUUUUUCUUGUCACUAGUUAAACCCCUCUAUUACUACAAUAUCAUAUUCAUCAAAUUUGCUAAGAGUUUUUAUUUUUUGAUUGGAAGCCUUAUCAAGAAUUCUCUUGGGACACAACCCCGUCUUGCUCUAUACUACCUACAAUUUGUUUAGUAAGUUGGGCAAAUUCUUUAUCUGAAGGGCUUUUAGGUAGUAACUAUUCUUUUUAUCCAAAUGAUUUAUCUAAGAUUGUAUCGUCUUUUUGUUUAGUAACUUGCAAUUAUAUUAAUUCUUUUAUGCAACAGAGAUUAGUUUGUGCAUAUUUUUACCCUUAACAACCAUGUAUCUAAAAAGCAUCUUUCGAGCUCUCUAUUGGGCUUCUCUGAGAUUUUUCUUUGAGCAUAACCUCAUUAAUUCGACUAAGCUCUCUCAUGGGUGCUCUUAAGUUCUCUCCUAGGUUCUUAUGAGCUCCUCUUGAGCUCUCUCCUAAGCUCUACAAAGUUUCAAUCGUAACCUCCUAUGAGUUUCUCUAAACUCACUUCAUGGUCAAUCGAGCCCUCUACGCUCACUUAGAGUCACCCCAAAUUCUUUUAAGUAGGUUAAACCACAGUAGAAUAUAUUUAAAGCAGUAGUUUUGUUUUUGUUUUUGUCCCCACGCAAAUAUAUAAGAAGAAUAAAUAGUAAGGAGAAGGAUCCAUUGAAACCGAGUGGCCAUGUUCCAUCCCCAACGUUACAAUGUGAUUGGAUAAUUUUAUAGCAAUCAAAUUUUCAUCUUAACUAGUUAAUGUUUUGAAUACAAAAAUCUCAUUUCGAUGUGUUGCCAUCAAACUCACAAAUGCUUCCUCUUUCUCUCUCUCUCUCACCACCCCCCCGCUAAAACCCAAUCUAUAUCCACAAUUCACUACAACAUUUUUGUCCUUCCUCUCCACUUGUUGCCAAAUGUUCAUCAGCUACCUCCAAAUAUAACAAUAUAAAGUUGAAAACAUCCAAUUUUGUUUAGAUAUAUUUUUGUUAUUGUCUGUUUCUAUAAGUGAUUAAAAUCUUAUGUUGCUGUAUUUGGCUAAUCCAUGAUUAUGACAUGACAAAUCUCAAUUCAAAGUUAAUUUAGUGGAUAAGAAUAAAAAAAAAACUAAUAUUUAAGGAAAAAGAAUGGUCAAUUUUAACUUCCUUUUAUUUAGGGUUUUUCUCUCUCUUUUUUUUUUUUUUUUUUUUUUUUUUGUCUUUAGCUUUGUGUUGUGUAUGAUUAAUUUACAAAAUAAAUGAAUAGAGUAGGAUUUUGGUUACAUUUUAUACGUUUAAGUUUACUUAGUUCAAUAGUAAUUAGGUCAUUUAUUCUUUCUUUAAAGGUUGAAUUGAUUUGCAUGGGAUAGUUGUGUAUUAAAGGAAGACUAAUUUAUUUUAUGUACAUGUUUAAAUUUUUCGACUCAAUGACAUUGCAGAGUUGGCUUAAUUUGGUUCAAGAGUGGGCUUUAAUUUAAAGGUUUUUUUGGCUGUCAUAUUAUGUUAUAGUAAUUCCAUCAGAGGUAAUUAGUGGAAGCCAUUUUCGUCCGAUUUACACAUUUGGAAAUCACUAAGAUUUUUGGAAAAAAAACAUUUAAAAUAAUACAAUAAGCCUUGCAAAUUAUACUUCAUAUCUUUCUAUAAGAAUAUGAGUUUAUUUCGCUUUUGAUUUCUCUCUUCUGGUCCUAUCACAUCCUUUCCAACAGUUAAUUACUUAAUUCAACAAUGUAUAUUUGUAUGGAACGCUUUUCUGCUUCCACCAAAAACCAAACUUAGAAUAAGAAAACUAAUUAGUAAUGAAUUCCAACACACGGUUAAGUUUGUACUAUAAGUAUUGAGAUUAAAGAUAAUUCAUAGAUUUUUUUUACCCCACAAAAUGUUAAAAGAAAAGAAAAGGAGAAAAGAAUGAGCAACAAAUAGUUAUUUUGAACACAAUACUAGUAGUGCUGACAACCUUAAAAUUACCUUUGUAUUAUGCCAAAUUAAUAAUAAAAAAAAGAGUAUAUCAUAUUCUUGUGCCAAUAUGGACAAUAAUAUUUGAAUAUAUCUGUCUUAUAAGUUGAUUCAUAUUAUGUAUGAGUAUAUAGUGUGAAGGAGAAACAAAGAUGACCCAGAUCGAAUUGAUUAAAAAAUUGUGAUAAAAAUGGAAUAAGAAUAAGUAGUAAUUCGGAGACACGUGCCGUCGCACAAUUGGAUAAUAAAUGAAUAAAGGUUACUUGUCAUUUUUUUGAGAGACACAUUAAAAAUACAGCUAGAUGUUCUACUAGGUAUAUCAAAAAAGGUAUCUUACUUUGAGUUCAUGGGUCAUUAGAUACAACAAAAUAUAUAAUUAUAUAUCUCUCUAUUUGUGUGUGCUUCUGAAUUAGUGCAUAAAAUCUAUAGAUUUGAGCAUUAAUCACACUUUCAAAUGAUUGUUUAGGGACUAAACAAUGAGAAAAAGUGGCAUCAUCAGUGGCUAAUGAUCUUAGUCAAAAUCAAAUGACAUUGAUGCAUCCUUUGUAUCAUUUUAUUUCUAUUCUUGAACUUUUGUGUGUGGGAAUAUAUGUAAUAGUAGAACCACUUCUCUAACUUUUAUUUCUUUUUUCUUUCUUAAAGCACCUUUUAAAUAAAAUCAUCUAUGGUGAAUGUAUGUGAUGACACAGAUUUUUUUUACCAAUAAACUAGGGCUUAACGGGAAUUGUUAUAAAUACCAACAUAUUAAAACUAUUUACAAAAUAUAACAAAAAAAAAAAAAAGCAUAAACAGGAUGCAAAGAGUUUGAUAAAUUUUUAUAUACAAUAUAAAUAGUUUCACUAUUUUGCUAUUUUUGAAAAUGUUCCUUUAAUUAAAAUUAAUAGAAUUGAAACCGUAGGAUAUUAAAAGCCUAAAUAUAAGAUCUACAUGUUGAUAUAUAGUUGAUAUUUCGACAUUUUCAUACAUUUGACGUCUACACAAGAAGUACGGUUGAAAAAUUUAUUCUAUAUGUAUAUAUAUAUAAAAUAUCACUUACCCAAACAUAGGUAAUAAACAUAUACCAAAAAUUGUAAAUAUUAUUUCUUCUAUCUCUGAAGAAUAUCACUAACCCAAACAUAACAUAAGUAAUAAACAUAUCAAAAAACGUAAAUAUUCUUUCUUCUAUCUCUUUUGAUAUAUCCUCUUUUGAUUUGUGCUAUACAUGAUUUAAUGUCUUUGUAUAACGUUGUUGGAAGAAGUUUACAUGAAAACAAAUUAUAUGAUAACUGAAUGUGUUGAAUCAUCGUUCUUAACAAUGUAAAUUCUCUCAACUAGCCUCAUGAAUUGCAAGAAUUUCAACAUGAUUUGAUGAGGUGACUAUUUUGGUUUGUUUCACUGAUCGCCAAGAUAUAGUAGUUCCUCCACAUGUCAAUAGAUAACAGAUAACUUGUAGAAAUAGAAGUUCUUAUAGCCUUUUAGAUAGAACAUUGAGAAAAAACAUGCUGUAAGUGUGUCAAAAUGCGUAACUUAUGUUGUAAAUUAAUAAAUAUUUGAAAAUAUACUCUAUAUAAGUUUUCAUGUCUGAUUCACCCUUUUUCAGUGCCUAAGUGCAAGAUUAAAAAUAGAAGAAGAAGCUAGUGAAUAGUAGAGGAACUCGUGCAAUGACUACGCGAGAAGACAUUGUUUGAUACAUACAACUUCUAGGUAAGAUCCACAUGAGCAUGCGGGGAAGGUUCAUGGAGUUGAUGUGACUUGACAAUGGCUACGUUUAUUGGAGUUGAUGUGACCUGACAAAGGUAAGGAAGAUGCCUCCAGAUAAAAAAGAGUUAAACGUUCUAUGGCCUAGGAUUCUAUGAAAACUUUCCUUUUCACAUCAGCGAACAAUCCUAAUUCUCAGUUUUCCACCAAGUUUGAAACAUCGAAAUCCUCCCCUGGAUAAAAAAAUAAAAAAGCUACAUUCUCCAGUUGUCAAAUUUAUACCCAUCUAUUUUUUUACUACAAGUCUUGUUAUUGUCGCAUAUGACCCAUUAAACAUUACCAUCCCGUGAAAAAAGAAAAUUCUUUACACCCUUGCUAGAAAACCAACCAACCUAAAUAAUAAACCACUAAGCUAUGAAGAAUCCAACCAGGAUGAUUUUCAAAACUUCAUAUCUAAACCAGCUACAUUUUUAGAAGAUGCAUUUAAGAAGUUCGAGGAGGUAGCACCAUGUAAUGUGGUGUCACACAUCAAUGAAGUCUUGGCGAAGGCUAUUAAUAGCCAACUCCAAAAGGAGAAAGAAAUAGCCUCUAAAGUAGAUGGCGAGAUACACCUCCCCUCCCCGCCAAAGACAACACAGAAAAUCCUGAGUGAAAGGACAAGAUGAAGGAGGCGGUGAAGGAUGAUGAGGAAAAGUUAACAAGGAUUACAUUUUCAAAUUCCUUGAUCAUUAUUUAUGCAAACCGAUGAAGAAAGAAUCUGAGACAUAAUCAUGUGCCAAAGUAAUCUACAAGAAUUGUAAUUACAAAGUCACAAGCAAUUAUGCGUUCUCAAACUUAAAUAUGACAACGCAAAUGCAAUAACGAGGCAUAAAUAGAUCAACUUAAAAAGAAAGUUGAAGGGAUAAAAGCCCUAUAGCAGCGGAAGAAUUUAAAGAACCAUUUCUCAAAUUAAUUUGGGAAUCUUAAAAUACCGGUACAUUGGCAAAAUUUUAGAAUCAAAAUUCUAAAUAAAUUCUAAGCAUGCUUUUAAAGAUAAAAUACAAGAACUCAAUCUCCAAAUUAGAACACCACCCGUCGAAGAUCUUCUUAUCCUCUGGGAUGAGAUUGGUUUGUGAAAACCAAUUGGGAUGGAAAAUUUUUUAGAUAUAUUUGAGAGAAACUCUUUGAGAGAAAAAAACCUUUGCUUUUUUUUCUUAACGAAUUUCGUUGAAGAAAACUGUUUUCUUCUAGAUAUUUAUAACUCUCUUUCCUUCUUGAAAUAAGAAAAAGAGUAGGAGAGAAUCAUGACAUUCUUAAUAUCAAAUCUGCUAAUUAGUUAACAAUUAAUCAAUUAGUUAAUAAUUAAUUAAAUCAUAUUUAAUUAAUAUUUCAUUCAAAUUUUAUUUGAAUAAAUAUCUCCCAAUAUCUUAUACAUUUAUAUUAAUAUAAUUAAUAUUUCAUUCAAAUAAGAUUUGAAUGAAUAUCUCUGCAAUAUUAUUUUAUAAAUUUAAUUAAAUUAAAUAAAACUAAAUUAUUAAUAAUUCUCCAAUUAAUUAACAGCUAAGUUAUAUUUAACUUAAAUUAAAUUUGAAUCAUAUUCAAAUAUAAGCCUCUCUCAUAAUAAUUUUAAUAUGAAUCCAAUUCACAUUAAAUUAAUAUUUGAACUCAUUCAAAUAUUUUAUCUCUCAUAAAUUAAUUUUGGAUCAUAUCCAAAAUUAAAUUUAUAAAAUAAAGUUUCACAAACUGUAUAUUAUAAUGUGUCACUAUACAUUAAACUAAUUACCUAAGUAAAUUUAAACAUUUCAAAUUACAACCAAUAUAAAUAAAUCUCAUUACCAUUUACGAGCUAGGAAGGGGACCUAAUGACCUAAAAAUCAGAAGCUACAACAAUCUGAGAUUAAUUGGCUAAACUCAUUCACUACAUUAAUCAAUAUUUGUUAAGUGUGUGUACACUCCACGAAAAAUUCACAGCUGAACUCUUCUCACUGUAGAUAUAUUUCUGUGUCCAUGGAUAUAGACCAAUAACAGUAAGUUAGUCCUUCACGAGUGUUCGUAACACCAGUUGGAUCAAUUUACCGUUUUACCCCUGGGUUACCUCUAAUCCUUAAAUAUCAGUGCUCCUCCAAUGAACAACUUGUUUAUGGUCCUACCAAUAAAUAAAAACCUCUCUCGUGCCAUGAGAGGGUAGGGCCCUUUGUUCAAGACCUAGAGACACCAUUUAAGGGACACUCAUCUACUUACCCUAAAGUAGGGAAGGAGUGAAGUCCAUCUUGUGUAAUUAUGUUUCCAGCUCCCCACUCGGUCUUGUCCCCAAAAUGAUAAGCUUAUUGAAUCGACGAUCUGGCCACUCUCACCCGUACAAAUCAAAGAACAAUCCCUCGCGAACAGGAGUUCAUAACACACUUAGGAUUAAGACUAAGUUACCUAGGUCAUCCAAGUGAAAUAAAAAUCUAACUAGUUAACGGAGUUACAUCUAGUGGUUACUAAUUCGUAGUCCGGUUUUAUGCAAACUCAUUGCAUAAGAUACCCUCACUCGCAUGUCAACUACACGAACGUGUUGGAUCAUUGCAUUUGUAUCAAAUACAAAGUGAGUUGUAUCAAUCGUGUUACCAGGAUAAGGUACCUAGCUUUAUCUGUAAACUAUAGACCCUUUAAGCUGAUUUUGAACAUCGAUCCCUAUAUGUCUCUACAUAUUAUUCAAGACUCAUUAAACAACUUAGGAUGUUAGUUUAUUGGAUUUGGAUUAUUAAGACAAAACUAAUAAUUUAAUCAAUAACAAUUAUUACAAUAACAACACUUUAUUAAUAACGGCCAAUGGAUUAUAUUCACAAUCUACAAGUUUUAGAACAUAAAUCCCAACAAAAGUAACAUAGUUCAAAAUGAAGAAUCAAGAGCUCCAAAAGCAACUCCUCGCCAUCAGGGAUCUGAACAAAAUGUUAACUAAUGCGGUUGAGCAACUCGCCACAUGGUACGACACACAAUUCCAAGAAACGUUUUAUCAAACCUAGAUAGGAAGAUUUUCUUGUAAUCUUAUAAAGAAUGAGAUGAAGAUUGAGAUAUGAAGAACAUAACCAAAGAGAGGAAGACGAAAACCCACGACAAAGAGGAGGACUGAAACCCACGACAAAGAGGAAGGCAAAAUCCCACGGCUAAAACAUAGAUUUGACAAAAAUCCGCAUAUAUGGCGAAAACACAAUUCACGCAAAGAGGAAGAGGAAAACUCAGAUCUAGCAAAGAGGAAGAGAUGAGAGUCGAAGAAAAAGACAACAAAGACGAUGAGAAGAAUAUUUGGGAAAGACGACGAAGAUAGGAGGAAGAAAAAGAAAAUCACGUAGAGAGUGGUUAUUUGGAAAAAAAGAUGGAAAUAAGAGGAAGAAAAAGGAAAAAACACGAGGAAAAUGGAAAAGGAAAAUGAAAUAGAAAUAGAAUUAAAAAUAAAGAAAAGGAAACCAAUAAAAAGAAUUGAGAUAAAAGAAAAGAAAGCUAAUAAAAAAAAUUGAGAAAAAGAAAAAAGAAACCAAUAGAAACAAUUGAGAAAAAGAAAAAAGAAAUUAAUAGAAAUAAUUGAGAAACGGGAACGGGAGAAACUAUUUUUUUUUUGUUUCCAAUAAUUCCGUAUAAAAUGAGAAACGUUUCUACUUUUUUUGAGAUCGAGAAACGUGAAACGUUACCAAACACCUCUGUUUCUUAAAAAAUGAAAACAUAAACAAAAAACAAAAAAUGAGAACAUUACCAAACAGACCCUAAGGGAGUGCGCAAGCGUGAAGUAGGGAGUUCCAACCUUGUGAUGAAGGUAAGAGAUUAGGGUCAAAAUUUGCCAUUAUUUGAUUUAUUUUCUAUAUAAACCCUAAUUCCCCCCAAUUUCUAAUAAAUUCACCAUCAUUUCACCAAUUCAACCUAAAAUUACACCAAUAAGUCUAUCCAGUUUAUCUUUUCCAAAUUUUCCCCUCUUUACUGCCAUAUUAAUUUUCACCCAAAUAAUUAUGAAUUGCUAUUGAAUUCCGAGGGAGUAAACUUCAAUUGAGGUAAGAGAUUAGGGAUGAGAGUUCCUUUGGAGGGAUAGUUUUUUUUACAAGAAUUCCAUGUAAUUUUCUUUAUUACUUCAAUAAUUAAUAUCUUAAUAUCUUGAUUCAUUCAUAAUUUCAAUUUUCUUCAUAUAAAUUUUUGAUCAAUUUUUCUUGUAUGCCAUGUACAAAUCUUAAAGAAAUAAAGAAUUGAAUUUCUUUCAUAACUCUUUAUCCAUUUUUAAUUCUUGAAUCAAAUCAUGAUUGGGGUUAGCUUGAUUUCUCUACAAUUUGGAUUCACUAAUUACAUGUUUUUUCUUGACCAAAUAAUUCUCUUGAAUGCAAAUUGUGAUCAAAUAAUUCUCUUGAAUGCAAAUUGUGAUCUAACUCAUAAGCAUGCAAUAUGACUCAUUUUUUGUGAAAUCAAAUAUAUCUUGUUAAUUGAUUUUCGUUCCAAAUUCUAAACAUCAAUUUGUUGGCAUAAUAAUUAAACAAUCUAUUAUUUUGCUCUAAUUUCUUUUUGAACAAUUAAAGCAUAGUUGAAGCAAUUCCCCCCAUAUGCGUUACUUUUUUAUUCUUGAUUUGUAAAGAACAUUGAAUCUUGAUCGAUCUAAUUUUGAGUUAGGAAAAUCGCAUGGUCGUAUGACAAAAUGUAUUUAGAUAAAAAUCAGCCUAUGACAUGUCUUUUUUGCAUAUUACGAAUAUGACGAAUAUGACAAGUAAUUAGUGAUAUGAGACAGCUAUCAAAUGGCUAUCAAAGGACUAUUAGAGGGUUAUCAGAGGGUUCUUAAAGGAUUACCGACUUUUAAAUUUGCUACUUUUACAAUUUAGAAAUGGGCCCUUGCAAAAAUAGCAAAAAAGUUUAUGGUAGUAGGGCCCGUGUCACUAUAUUUUUUAAAUUGCAAAAGUAGUAAAUUUAAAAGCUGAAAAUUCUAUUAUUACCAUCUGAUAGUCCUCCCAUAGCCCUAUGAUUACUGUUUGAUAGCUGUCUGAUAUCACUAAUUUUCACAUAUCCGCAAUAUGCAAAAAAUAGGUGUCAUGAGCUAUUUUUUUCUAGAUAUUUUUGUCAUUUGAUGCAAUUUUCCUUUAGAAAUGACAUAGGCCUUAUUAUCAUAAUUGUUUUACUAUUUUUGCAACACCUGAUUGGUUUAAGCAAUUUAAAUCUCAAAAUUAAAUUAAUCAAGGACAUUUUAAUUUUCUCAAUCUUUAUUUCAAUCUAAAUUAAUCUUGGUUGUAAUUUUCAUUUUCCUAUAGUAAAGAAUUCCCUAAAUUCCCAAUCUCUCUUACCUCUCAUUAAUCAAAUGAGUGAUAUUUUACAUAAUUUUGACUUUGAAUUGAAAAUCUUACACGACUUGUGUUUCCUCUUUCUUACACAAAUGCUUAAAUUUCCUUGCUAUUUCUUUUUAUGCUUCCCUUUUUCUACAAACAACUUUUCUUUCAAGCUUUGAUUUGCAUUUAAAAUAAUUCCCUUGGGUUCAACACCUCAACACCCUUACUUACCACAUAGCUAGAGUAAAAAGUAAGGAUAAAUCUAAAAUUACUUUUUGUCAAGGUAAAUUUUGGUAAGCAUCCUACCCAGCAACUUUUAUUUCAUUUUCAAACAUAUUAUUGCUUGAUUCUAACGACCUUACCAAUAAAUCCUUUCACAUCUAUUAUCCUUUCCUCGUCAACAAGCAUUAUUCUAAAUUUGUGGGUGUGAUAACUUGUAGAAAUACAAAUUAUUAUAGCCUUUCAGAUGGAACAAUGAAACCAAAACACAUAGUAAGUGUGUCAAAAUGCGUAACUUAUGUUCAAAAUUUAUAAAUAUUCGAAAAUACAUUGUACAUAAGUUUUCAUGCAUGAUUCACCCUGCUUCAGUGUCUUAAUGCAAGAUUAAAAACAAAAGAAGAAGCUAGUGAGUUGUAGAGGAACUCGCGCAAAUACGAGAAGACCUUGUCUGACAAGUAUAACUUCUAGGCGAGAUCGAUAUUAACACAUGAGAAAUGUUCACUAGAAGACAAGAGUAGUAGAUGAAGUUAAUGUGACUUGACAAUGCUUACAUUUAACGGAGUUGAUGAGGUUUGACAAUGGUUACGUUCAUCACUGACAUGUUCAGAAGGACAGAAGCUUCCCAUCGAAAGUUGUCCAUAAAAAGCCUACUUCAACACCAUCCAAUAUUCUUAUACAGUCAGCCCGUAGGUGAAAGCUUAAGGUCUAAGCAUGAAAGAUACCAUUUUCCCUUUCUCCUAACUUAUAAUGUUCAUUUUUACACUUUCCAUGUUUGUAUUUCUUUGAAUUGUACUUGUUCAUAUUGUAUAGUGGCUUAAGCCCUAUAUGCUUCAAUAUAUUAUAUGUUUACACCUUGUCAAUCCAUCAAUCCAUCAUGUCUUUACUAUUCAUCUAUCAAUGUGUGUUAUCCGUAGUUUAGGUCAUUGAUAAGUUCUUGAUAAGAAGUUUAGCUUAUAAUAAUUAUCGCGUUAGUUGAGGUAUAGUCAUCACUUGGCCACUGUAAAUUACAACUACUCGAGAGAGCAAGUAGCAAGGAUAUGUCUAACACGGGCAAGGAGGAGUUUGUGGACAAAUUCCACCUUAGUGAGAUAACUUCCAUCAUUUGUUUUCGAAAAGGAGAACAAGUGUGGGUAUUUGAUGCCGAGAGGUUGUCACUUUUAAAAGAGAAGCUCUAUAAGUCUUGUAAGUAAAAUCUUCUAAAUAUAUCUCACUCAAUUAAGAUUGAUCAUUUGCAUCUCGGGAGGUGAGCAAGUGUGGCGUAGGCAUUGAGAGGUGCUUGUCGUAAUUAUAAGCUAGUUAACUAAGUUGUGUCGCAUUAAGGCGUUGACUGUUGCAUAGCUUAUUUGCCCGUUAAUGCAAAGACCUUCCUUCACUCCUUCUUAAUACAAGUUAGUUCGUAGGUUCGUCUCACUUCCACUUUAAUAACACUUUAUAGAUUUCCUAGUGUAUAUAAGUAGAUAUAGUUUAAACUUAUAUUUUACCACACUCUAUAAAUAUUACUAUAUACCGCCCAACUAAAGAGUGAACUAUAGAACUAAGAUUUGAUAUCAAUUCUCUGUGUUCUGAUAACUUGUAGAAAUACAAGUUCUUGUAGCUUCUUAAGUAAAAUAAUAAGGUCUUAUCACAUGAAAAUAAGAGAAAACAAAGAGAAAAAGUAGGCGAUUUAAUUACUUUGCAAAAAGUUUAUCGCAAAAGAACUUCAUCCAUGUUUCUCUAUGUUUCAAUGUUGUUAUCGCAAAAUUUUAGGAGAAAAGGAGUGAGGCUCGGCAAGGUAGUACAUUGUACGUGAACUAAUCCAAGCAACCUUUUUAGCACGAGGAAGUAGAUGUUAGGCGAUCAAGUCACUAGCAGACAAAAGAAGUUGGCAGGAAAGUCAGAAAAGGACAAACAAGUUAGACUGCACAACAUAGCUACAACUUUUCUGCAAUCUUAAUGGCACGUGCUAGUUUAUCAGUGUCACUCCGUGUUUAUAAAUAGAGUUUUUCACUCUUGAAGAUAAGUGUGCACACUUUUGCCAAAAAAAACAAGUUCCUCACAUUCUCCAUUUCCUCUCCAUUACCUUGAGUUUUAGGUGAGAGCUUAAAGCAAAAGAGAGAGAGAUUUACCACUUUCAUAAAUUCCCUUCACAUGUAGGUAAAAAAACCAUAGCUAAAGAGAAUGAGAGAUCAAACUCUAUGGUGUUACACCCCUAUUGUAUUUCCAUUUUUGUGUUUGUAUAUUGUGAUGCUUUGUAAACAGGAUGUUAUGGCCGAGAGCUCUACAAUAUUAUGUAUAAAAGCAAUGCAGUUCUUCUUUCAUUCUUCCAUCUUUCUUAUCUCUUCCAUAUAUGCAUGAUUGAAUAACUAAACAGUAAUGAAUGAGAUAUUCGAUACUUAGAAAGUUAUAAUGUGUGUAGUAAGAGUUUUGAUCAAUUAAGUAUAAGUAUCUUAACCUCGUUCAUUCGAAAGAAGUACAAAAGUAGAGAUCGUAAUCACCAAAUGCAUGAGCACCACUUUUAGCUGUGCAAUUGACAAAGAUAAUACAAUAAUGCAUUCUUGUCACUAAGCUCAUCCUCUUCACACAUUACUGAAAGGUCAAGGUGUGUGGGAAAAAGCACUGAGAGGUGUAUACCUUAAUUGAGGAUUAGCUACUGUUACUACAUUCACGAUUAUUACUCAAUCCACUCUCCCUUAUGCAAAUCAAACAACAAAUCCUUGUAGGCAAAAGCCUAUAACUCAGUUAAGAUUAAGAUUGAAUAACAUAUCACAUCCUGUGAAAUAUCAAUAUUUUUAGUCGAUGAAGUUAUAAAGAGAGAUUAAGGAUUUCUCAAUCUGGUCUUAUACAAACUCAUCAUAUAGGAUACACUCAGUCACAUGUCUCCACAUAAUCGUUUUAGAUUACAUUAUUUUUAUAACCUUCGCAAAGUGAGUUGUAUCCAUAGUCUUACUAAGAUAAGGCAACCAACCUUAUUUAUAUACUAUAAACCUUUUAGGUUAUUGUGUCACGCCUCGCUCCAAUUCACUCUAUGUGAUGGAAUGGAGACAUGACCGCCUAGACAUCUUAAGCGAGAUUCUCUGUAAAGUAACGCGUCGAAUGACCAAUAAGCAAAAUUAAAGGACAAUCACAAAGAAAUUUAACGUGGAAUGUAAACUUUGAUGAACUUUGGGAAUUUUAUUGAUAAUUCGAGUAUACGUACAUCCAGUACUUUUACAACAUUUGUCAUAAAACUAUAGUAAACAUGAUUCAACAAGACUUGGACUUUCCUUUCCUAUCUACUAUAUGCUAUUCGAGUAGACAGUGUCACUACCAAACGAUGCGAUUAAAUAGGCACAAUAGGCAAUCAAGACUGCAGGUUCAACGUUGGAAGUCCUUUGCUACCUGAGGGGAUAGAACAAAACAUUGAAAUGUUAGACGAAACACCUAGGUGAGUGGAAUCUUUUAUCAAUCGUUUUAAUCAAAUCGAAUUGGCUUUAUCGCAACAUGAUCAUUUCAUAGAAACAUUUGUUCGAAACGUUCGUCAUUUUUAUUUAUUCAACAUUAUAUAAAUCUUAGAGAUCACUCCCUUUAUUAUUCAUCACAACAUUUUUCGCGUUGUAUGUUUCUCGCAUACGAAAUGUUUAUCUCACAAAUUCAUUAUGCAUAUUCAAUUUCAUGUUUGUAACCUCUCCUUGCUCAAGCAUUUACCACACUCUUUUGCCAAGUCACAACCAUGCGGAAAAAUCUCAACGCACUAGCAAUUAUCAUCAAUUUUCUUACGCAUAACACGUCUUCUAAUGUCAAAUCACAUAUCAAGUAAAAGGCAUCAAAGACCAGAUCACAUAACAAGUAUGAGGCAUCCUAUUCAAGAUCACCAUGAAUAGGGCAUUCCAUCGUACAGGGUACAAGGCUAUUCUCAUUUUAUUUUUUUAACAUCUCACAUGCAUUUUUCAAUUUAUACCAACAUUGUCAGUAACAUAUGUCACAUGUUUAAAUCAUGAUUAUCAUAUGAAAGGUUCAGAAGAAUGGUUUUCGAAACAUUUCCUCCCCUUGGAAGUUCACACAUUACACUGCUUAAGUAUUUUAUUGUCUCAUUCUAGUUCUUCAAAUCAUUCAUAUGUUACAUACACUUUGAGAAUUUGAAAGCAAGCGGAAAUUCACAACAUUAUAAUUUUAAUGAAAAUAUGUUUAAGGAUUCAAAUACGUCUUAGAAAUCCUUUUUAUUUUGGAAAGUAUUUGUAAGAAGAACCAGCCAUAUCAUAGUCAACUAGCUCCAUAAACUAGCUUCCUUGGCCAAGAGUCCCUCCUUCACUUCUCGGAAUCCUUGUCGGAAUGAGCUUGUUCUAUAUCUUGAAUCCUCGAAUACACCCUCAUUUCUUUAUUAACACGUUCAAGUAAAAGCAACUUUAAAAUGACUUAAAUUCCUCUAUAUAUAGAUCUCUCUGUUAAGUUAGUUCUUGUCGUUAAGGAUUCUGAGAAGUGAAUCAUACCGUAAGGUAAGGAUUUUAGUCAUUUUAAGAUUGGGUCAUUUCUUGUCGUUGGUUAAGGUAAGGAUUUUAAUCAUACCGUAAGUUAGAAGAACUUACCUUAUUCACUCAUGAUGUGUGAAAGAUCAAUCAAAGUAUGAUAAAUGAAAGUAGGAAAAUAAAAGUUGGGAAUGAAAAAUGCACAGAGAAUUUAGGGUUGGUGGCUGCAAAAUCAAGGAGAAUAUGCCCUAAUUUGGUCAAAGUACAUAACGUCGUUGAGCACUACCUUGAAAAUAUGCUGUUAUGGAAAUUGCGCAAUUUGAUAGCGCAUAAAAGCAUUGUGAAGUUGAUGAACCUCUACCAUGCUACCCAAUUGGGUGCCACAUACACCUAGGAGUAUUUUUCGUAACUUUCCUUUAUUUUUUCGUUUGAUGCUUCCAAAUCUUUGUUUCGGUCUUGUUUCCACUCCAAUGGUAAGUGCUACUUCCUAAGUGCAUCAUAGAAUAAAAAUGUAAAAUUUAGAACGAGCUUAAAUUAAGUGGAAUAUGAUAGCCUCUUUCUUGCUAUAUGUCUAAUAUUCCACCUUUCUGUUGGUAUCAGUCUUAGACACACACCUUGAAGUAUUUGAUCCAUCUCUGAAGAUAAGGUCUCACAAGGGGAAGAUACAACCUUCCCAUAAAAGUCCUUUUAUUAUUGUGUUGAUAUGUAAUGUGGUUCUUUGCUGGAGAACUUUUACUUUUACUUUAAACAGCACUUUGUUCUCCUAAUGUGAACAUAUUAUGGAAUGCCAUCCAACCCUCUCAUUCUAUACCUUCAGGGAUCAAAAAUAAAACAUUUUCUUCCUUGUCAUCAAGCCUAUAUAUCUGACGAAUCCAUAAAAGGUAGGUGCCAUACCUUUUCUCUUGAAAAAGAAUAAUGUUGUUUUUUGGGUACCUUUUAAUAAGAAUGCAGUAAAUGAGCUGCAAAGCCAAAAACUAAUGAACAGGGAUAUAACAUCGUUAAAAAAUGAAAAAAAAACAAGUAGAUCUAACACAGAACACAAUAUCAAGCAUGAUGUAUCACAUACAAUAUGAUAAUUUAGUUCAGUAUAAAAUCUCCAACGUUUGGAACAUAGUGUGUCCGAUGGAACAAAACAUCACUAUAUAAAGAGUUUAUAUAUUUUUCAACUUUUUUUAGAGUCGAUUGGAGUAAUUUCUUAAUUAACAUGACCUUUUGUAUAUAUGCUUGGCAAAACAGUACUAUAUUCAAUAACAUAUAAUCUUUUACUAUUCAAUAACAUAUAUUUUAUUUCAUACUAGGGAUAAAUGUACAUUAAUUAGAAGGCUUUCAAGAGGGCCAUCAAUAAUUAUACUUUUAAGCAAAAUUCAAUAAUGGAAAAGUUUGUUUGUUUUUUUUUUAAAAAAAAAAAAUUUGGUGAAAAUAAGUGAUAUGAUAUAUGCAUAAAAGUGAGAUACAAGUGUAUGGUUGGAUAUAGGGGUUUGAGUUCAGGGGCAUGAAAUGGAGACACAAAGGAGGCAAUAUGAUUAAAAGGUGGGAGACGGGGAGCCCUAUGAAAAUGAGCGAAAGAAAGUCCAAAAAUCACAUCCAUACAAUGAGUUGAAGCCAAGUUUUUUGGUUGAAAGAAAGAAAGAGGAAACUUUGGGUUAUGGUCCAAAGUAGGGUUUUAUAUAUAUCUCACAAAGACAAGGACAAACCUCUUUGUGCCAACUCUUUCCUCCUUUUCUUUCUCCCUUUCUUUUCUUUCUUUUCCUUUCUCCCAAAUGUUUUGUGAUGAACAAAAAGGCCCUCCUUAUUCUCUCAAUGUUUCUCUCAAUUAAAUAAUUCUACAUUUGAAUAAUAUUAAUAAUAAUAAUUUUUUUUAACAAAAAGAAAAACAAUAUAAUGCCCAUCCAAAAGAGACAAAUGCAACAUAUAAAUCUAAAGAGAGUGAGAGAGAAAUUUGAAUAAUUUAAAACAGAAACAUUUCUCUCUCUAACUCUCCCAUUUUCAACUUUUCAUAGCUUGUAAGUUAAUUUUUUUUAUAUUAUAAUAGUUAUGUUGUUUAUCUCUUUGCUAUUGAAGAUAGAGAUAGCUCUAUUUUUUCUCUCUCUCUCCUGAUCUCUUAAGUUAUUCUAUGUAUGUACAUAUAAAAUAUUAAUGUUAUAAUUGAGAAACACUGUAGCAGUUGUAACAGAAUAUUUAUUGCUAUCCACAAAAAUAAUAAAUUAUUUUCUUUUAUUAAACAAAUGAAUAACAAUCACAGGUCCACAUCUUGAAUGCCACACAAAAUUGCCCCAUUUCUUAAGUCAAUGGAAAAAAAAUGAAAAAUAAAAUGCUCUAUUCCUCUCUCUCUCUCUCUCUCUAGCUAUGUUCUUCAUCAUGUCUAUAUGUUUUUAAAUAACACCCUCUCAGUUAUUUUAUCUCUUUUCUUCUCUCUCUCUCUCUCUUAUCUAAUAAUACAUUCACAUAUUUGCUAGGAUAGGACUAAAAUAGUACUUUAGAAUAUGCAGCUGUUAAAAAUGGGUUUUUGUAUAUACACAAUAGUAAAUUAUAUUCAAUUUUGUUACUGCCAACAUAACAUACAUCUAUCAACUAUUACUGUUUCCAAGAUUAGAUUGUAUAUAUUGUUUCACUUCUAUAAUAUCACUAUAUAUUCUUUACUUCUAGAAUAUCAAAAACAAAGUUAACUUAGUUUACCACUUAUUAUGAAACCUGGGUUAACUUUUCCAACUUCAACUCCAACGAUUUAUUAUCAAUAUUGUACUUCAGGUCAAAUUAUUAAUAUUAGAUAUUUGUCAUUUUAUUUUAGUCUCUCUAUACCAAAAUUAGUCGAUGCAAAUUUAAGUGAAAUUCCUUUUUUUUCUUUCACGAAACAUUCAUUAUUUAAUUAAUAACAAAAGUUUUGAUAGAAUAAAAGACACCAUUUAAAUAUGUUUACAAAGUUUAUAGAAAUAAGUAUAUAUAUAUAGAUGAAAUUUAAUCUUAGAACUACUCAAUACUUCUUGUGUACAUUUGUUACAUCAACAUUAUCGAAAGAAAAAACAAAGUACAUCCAAACUUUUAACUAUAUAUAGGUAUUUCUUUUCGUUUUUUUUUUUUCUUCAUUUUUUUUUUUGUAAUUUUCAAACCUUUGAAUAUGAUAGGGGUUUGUACUUUAACACAUAAAUUUGUAUAUUAAUAACGUGGCUAUGUUAUGAAAAUGUCCUUAAACUUUGUUAUUUGUUUUUAAAAAAAUCACUUAACCUUCCACAAACAUUUAAUAGUUUCAUUCUUUCAAGUUAGAAUAUUAAUCAUUACAUGUCAUAAAAUUAAAACAUUUUAAAACUGCUUAAUAAAAUUCAAUUAUAAUGUUAGAUGAAAAAGAAAGAAUUGAAAUAUAUUGUAAUUUUUAUGUUGCAUUUGGUACAUCUAUUGAGUCGGUAGAUAUUUGUUGAAAUAUUUUGAAUAUGUUAUUUCAUAUCUAAAAAAACGAUUUGCAAAGUAUCUUAUGGCUUUCAAAGGGUAGACAGUAAUGAGUUUCAGUUAGUAAUAAAAUAAAACGUGUAUGUUUCUAACUCUACACGUGAACAUAGCUAAUUCAAACUCUUAUUCAACCACAUAAGUUUAUGUGUGAAUUUUGUUUUCUGAUGGUUUAUUGUUUUGGUGUGAGCAGUAUGUGAUUGUCAUAACAUAAAAUGUAUAUGGUUGUGAGCUAAAAUAAUGUAAUAAUAUGGAAAUAAAGUCUCAAUUUUUAUUAUAUGUUAUAGGUGGCACGCACUGACAGUAUCCCAUAUCCCAAAUUUCAUCCCACGUUCAAAUAAAAUUAAAAUUUUCUUCUGUAAGAAGUAGUUUUGAAAGAUGGAAGAAAAAUGAAUAGUAAUAUUAUGUUUGAAAAAGCUACAGUAUGCUUGAAAGGAAGUACAAAUGUAAGAGUAUUUUUGGUAGGUUUACCUUAAUGUUGAGAUAAUUAAUUUGAGAAUAAGUGAAGGUUUAUAUGGUAGGGUAAGUGUUUAAUUCUUUGGUAGGAAAAAAAAGAAAAGUGGUACUGAGAAGAACUAUUUGCAUGGCAGGCGUGAGAGAGUGAGAAGGAAGAUUCCUUAAGAGUGAAAUGGUGUAGGGCCAAUAAUCCUACAAAAAUUAUACAUUUGUGUUCUUCAAAGGGUCCAUUUCCAUGGCUCUACAUGUGAUGCUCCCAACUUGACAAUCCCAACCAACACUAUUCCAAAGGCCCUCUACCCUUAACCUCUUCACCCUUCUUUCUCUCUCCUCUCUUCCUUUUUAACCAUACUCUCCCUCUUUAUUUACAUUUUUCUACCCCUCUCUUCUUUCUCUAUCUUCAUUCUAACCUUAUGCACUCAUUCAAUACCUAUAUAUAAUCUUGUCUCAUUUGGUCCUCCCGAGUUCAACACCUCAACAUACAUAUCCAUAACUUUAUAUCUAAUAAUAUCUCAAAUUACAUCAAUUCAACCUUACUCACUUUCUAUCUUAUUUAGCCUCAAAUAAUGUUCAAACCAUUCAAAACAUUAGGUGUUUUCAGAUAAAAUUAUUAAUUUUUAAAAGAUUUACUCUUUCAAUAACAACAAAUACCUUACACUUGGAAUCUCUUUUAUACGAAUAUAGGAAUAUUAUUAUUAGUUUAAGUACUUCUAUUAUAUUCUUUUAGAUGAUGGCUUUUUUUGGUACUGUAUGGAAUUUGUUGUCUUAUAUUAUAUAUAUACCUCAAUUUUAUUAAAUAGCGAGUAAUAAAUACUCAACUGAUAUAUUACAUUUCUGUUUUUUCUUCAACUUUGUCCCAAUUUUGUUAUUAUUAUUUUGUUUUUACAAGAAUCACUCGAUGGAGAUUAAACUCCAACAUUGCAUUAUAAUUUUUUGAGUUCAUUGAAUAAUGACCUAAUAAUAUUGAUAUUAUAAUAGUGAAUAAUUGUAUUCAUGUGUAUUGGGAAUGGCCUAAUAGGACACAUGAAAUUUUAUUAAUAACGAUUAAAGAAAAUAUGAUAGAAUCAUAUGAACCGCCAAAUCAUGUCUUGAUUGUAUUAAAUAAAAAAGAAUAUAUUGUUUUUGUUAAAAUGUAUAUUAAUUUUUAAUUUUACCUAUUAAUUUAAUUUAAUUUAUUAUUAUUGUUGUUAUUAUUAUUGGCUAAAAAUAAAUAGGAGUGAAGAUUCGAUUAGUCUAAAUAUUAAUUUAAUUGUGUUUAUUUUAAUUAGGACGUCUAUUUUCAUUUAGAAAACAACAAUUGUAAAAUAUGUUCUACUUAAAUUUAUCUAAGAAUCAUAAUAUUGUGAGUGUGUGUGUAUUUAAUGAAUGUUGCUAUACUCAAAAGAUUUUUCUUAAGUAUCCAUCGUAAGAUUUAUGAGACUAUUACUCUUCAAAAAUGGUCUAACAUAGACAUUAUGUUGUAUGACCCACUCAAACUAUUCAUAUUUCAUCCUUAUAAAAAAAAUAUCUCAUUCAUAUUAACUCUUUCAUACUUGAAAAGAAAAGUGAAGAGAUAUACACCAUGUGUAAACUAUAUGAUCUUUCGUAGUCCUUCUAACUUUAAUUCGAAAUUCAUUUUCAUUUAACGUGUUUAGAUUUAUUCAUGUAAUUAAACCAACGCAUAUGUAGAUACAAAUUUUUCGUCUGUUAAAAAUUUUAUUUUGAAAUAAAUUUCAAACAUGAAGAGAUUGAGGAAGAACUUUUCAAAAUUUAGACAAAUCCAUAAUUGAGAUUGAGGUCAUUUUUGUCUCUCUAUUUUAAAAUUUAAAAUUUUUAUUUUUACAUAUUAUUUUAUUAAUUUCAAUGGUCCCUACCUUUUUAUGAAUGUCAAGAAAUUGUUCACCAAUUCAAACAUCAAAUACAUUUUUAGUUGUAUUUAACAUCACUUAUUAAUGUUAAAUAUAUAAUUAAGAUUAUUAAACGAAAAUAUAAGGAUAAAAAUUGACACAAAUUAUAAAUUAACAAAAAAAAAAUCUAAAAACUAAAGAGGGUCAAAUUCUACAUCAUUUUAUUUGAUUUACAUCAUUUAAAAUUGUGAAUAAUUCAUAUAAUAACUGAUUAAUUUUCCUUUUGUUGAACUUGUUCAUAGUGUAUGGAAGAUAUCACAUAAAUUAUUGGGCGAGAAAGUGAGAUGCAAAUUAUUUAUUGAAUAUUUUCUUUUAAAAUUAAUAAUGAUUAUAAUAAACAAUCAAAGUUUUUUUGAAAAAAGAAAACACAAUUUACAUGAAACAUCACAAAUGACAAAAUACAACACUAGAAAAGAGUCUCUCUUUAUUUCUUGUUUGUGAAACCUUAAACUCCAUUCUCUCUCUCUCUCUCUCUCUCUCUCUCUAAAACCCCAAACUUUUAUUCCAUUUUUUAGGCCAAAAAAAAUAAAUAAAUUAUUAAAUUGGAAAAACAUAUAACUCUCGCCGAACUCUAUUCUACAUUUUCUCAACCCACCCCCCACACCCUAUCAUUUUCCCUUAAUUCCCCUCAUUUUUUUUCAGUAACUUAUGUGAGUGUGUGUGUGUAUGAACAACAUAUUCAAUUGAAUAUUCUUUACACAUCGAAAAAAACUCGACCCGCUUACCCGCCCGACAACCCUUUCCGGUCCUAAUAGUGCUUGAGCUUUCUCACAGAGUUACAACAUGUCUUGUCCUCACUCACUCUGCAGCACUCACGGUAGCCGGUUUGCUCGCCACAAUCUCAUAGUUCCCUCCACCUUCAUCCUCUUCCUCUUCCUCUUCAUCUUCGUCGUCGUCGUCUUUAUCAUCACGAUCCAUUGGUUCGCUUUCCAUCUCCUCGUUUCCCGAGUCAGGGCGAGCCAUCUCUUGUUGUGGAGGCCAUUGUUGCUCCGGACGAACCAUCAAUGGCUGCUGUUGAUGCUGCAUAAUCGGUGUGGACGAUGUGAUCAUGUUGUUGUUGUUGUUGCUCUUUUCCCUAUACAAAGCAUCCAGCUGGUGAAAAUAAGGGCAAGUCUUGGAGUCCUCAGGCCUUGUUUUUCUACUUUCCUUCACUUUCUUGAAGUAUUUGUUUAUGUUCUCCCAUUUCUCUUUGCACCUCUUUGCAUUUCUAUUGUACCCAAGUUUCUUCAUGGCUGAUGAUAUCUCUUCCCACAAUGGCCCUUUUGGCCCAUUCUCUUGAUAUUUGGUCUCAAGGUUUGUUCUCAAUUUGAUGAGUGCUUGAACUUCAACUUUUGGCCAUCUUGAUGAGCUUGAAGCUGGGCUAAUGCUAUAAUUCUCCCCACCAUUAUGAUCCAUUUUCAUUAUCUCCAUUUGCAACAAUUCAUUAUUAUUCCCCACUUUUUGUGGGGUGGAAUUCGGAACAACCACUUGCAAUGUGGAAGCUUGUGGUGCGGGCGGCGGUGGUGGUUGCAGUUGCGGUUGCAGCUGCGGCUGUUGUUGUGGAUGCACAACUGGCGAUGGAUUUGACGUUGGAAUUUGUUGUUGCUGUGAUGGUGGUGGUGGCGGCGGCGGCGACAGUUGUGAUGGAUUGUUGUUGUUGUUGUUAUUGUUGUGUUGGGAUUCAGUUAUUUUUUGAAGGAAGGAUGUAAUGGCGGCAUCUUUUGCAGCCGCCAUUGAUCUCUCCUGAGCUAAAAUCUCUCUUUCUCUAUUGAUUUUGGCCAUCUCUUGCAUCCUCCAAGCUUCUUCUCUCACAACUCUCUCUUGUUCCCUCUUCUCAAUUGCUUCCAAGAAUCUCUUUUGCAUUUCCUCUUGUUUGUCAAUCACUUCCUUCAUCAAUCUCUCAAAAAAGUCCUUCCAUUUCCUCUUCCUCCUCCUCCGUCUUGACGCCUCAUCUGAUGAUGUGGACGAGUUGACAUCAUCAGAAGUCGAGUUCGAGAUGAGAUCUGCUUCAAUGCUUUGAAACCCCAUUCCCACUCCCGUGGAAGAGACAUUGAUUUGGAAAGGGACAGCGGGAGGGACGGUGGUGGGCAAACUUGUAGGGUUAUUCAAUGGCAACGGAGCGGGAGGGGGCGGAGGAGAUGGGAGGUGAAUUGUGGGGUUUGGUUGAGAGAACGAUAUGUUCAAUAAGUGAGGUAGGGUGGUGGUGGUGGUGGAUGGAACAGUAGUAGAAGGAAUGUGGGAAAUGACGGUGGUAGGCGGCGGCGGUAGGGGUGGGGGAGGAGUUGGUUUAGACAAAUGAGAAUGGAAAUUAAGAGGAGGGUGAUUUUCAAGAGCUUCCAAUUGUUCGAAGAACUUAUAAGUUUUGCUAUCUGGUUUCCCGCUUCUAACUUCUUUAGUUCUUUUGUGAUAUUUGUAAACAUUCUCAAAUUUCUCUUUGCAUUUCUUUGCACUUCGAUGAUACCCAAGCUCCCCCAAUUUCCUGAUAACAAAACAAAACCAAGACCCCACAAAAAAAAAAAAAAAAAAAAGAGAAAUUUUUUUAGAAUUUUCAUACAAAAAAAAAAAAGUAAUCGAAUUUCUCUCUCAUACAAGGCAAUUGCAUGUGUAAAAACAAUGAUUGCGUUCAAAAAAGAACUGAAAAUUCAGUAGAAAAACCAAUAUACAUGAAAUUAAUCUCAAACUAAGACAUACAUAUCAUACAAUUGAUCAUUUUUUCUUCUGAAAACUGCAAAAAAAAAAUUCAGUUGUUGAUGUUACAUAAGAGAGAAUGUUUUUUUUAACAAAAAAAAAGUACCAUUUAACUACUACUUAACUUCACAGAUUCCUUAAAUUAAUUUUUUUUAAAAAAAAAAAACUCACCUUGAAUUUCAGUGACACUGAAUUGGGAUUUCAGUUUUCUUAGAGAUUCCCAAGAAAACAAAAAAAGAAAAUCAUAAAUCACUUCAGAUGAAGUGAAAAUGAUUGAACUGCCGACAGUGAGAUUUAAAUUUUCUUGUUUUUUUUUAAAAAAAAAACCAUCAAAAAACAAAAACAAACUCAGAUCUUUGAAGAGAAUUAUAAAAUAAAUCACAAGUGAUUUAUUUUGAAAAAAUUGAAGAAAAGAUUUGAAUUAAAUUGAUAAUUUAAAUCUUUUUGAUAUGUACCUGGAAAUUUGUUCCCACAAAGGGCCUUUAACGCUUGCAUCUCGAAAAGCCACGUCCAUUUCUGACCGUAUUUUCAAGAGAGCUAAAGUUUCUUGUCUCGGCCACCGGUUUCCGCCGAAGCCCCGGUCACCGUCGUCUCCUCCUCCACCGCUGCUUCUCCCUCUCUCAUCUUCACCAGAAUUGUUAUUAUUCUCAUCCAUGUCCACUAUAAGCCCAUCUUGACGAUGUGUCGUAGUCGCCGGUACGGCGGAGUCUCCUCCGGCGCCGCCGCCCAAGACGGAAGUAGUGGAGUCUCCAAGCAUAGAGAGAAUAAUAAUAAGGCUAAUUGGGAGGGACGCUCCUCCUUUCCAAAUUACAGCACAAAACGAAACAAAGGGCAAAAAUAAAUUAAAAUAAAUACACACAACAACAAACAUUUUUUUAAAAAAUAUAUAUAUAUAUAUAUAUAUAUUUAUUAUUUUUUUAUUUUUUAUCUUUAAUUUUUAUCGAAGGUGAAAAUAUGUAAAAAGCAUAAGGGGUUUAUGGGAAUAGAAUUAAUUUUUUAUUUUUUAUUUCUGGUGGGGAUCUGCUUGUCAAUCUCAAGAACUUGUUUUUUUAUUUAUUUUUUUUUUUCCUCCUUCCUUUUCUUUUAGCUGCGGAAUCUUUGGUCUUUAAUGGGUUAUUUUUUAAAAAUUAAUAAUAUUAAAAUAAAACCUGCCACCUGGGGCUUCUCUCACUUUCUUUUAUUUAAUGAUUUAAUUUAUUUUUUUUAUGUUCUCAGUAAUAAUAAAAGUGGCACAGAAAGUUAUAUACAAAUGGAAAAUAAUAAAAAAUAAAUAGAAAAAAGAGGGUUUUAUUUUAAUUUAGUAAUAAGAUAAUAAAUAUUACAGAGAUUUUUGAACAGCUUGCGCAAACAGACAAUAAUGAUAAUAAGUUGGUUUUUGUCUGUCCAGCUAAAUUUAGCUAAAAGCCGGCCCAUAUAACCUCACUUUUUUUUUCUUUUGUAAAAAAUAAAAAAAAUACAAAAUAAAAGUUUCUUUUUUUAAUUAAAAUAUUACAAUUAAUGAGAAUUAAUGCUCUAUAGAAAAAAAAAAACUUAUUUUUGAAAAAGAAAUUAGAUCUGAAUAUAUUAUAUUAUAUUAUAUAUAUAUAUAUAUUGUUACCUUGAAAUGGAGGGUUUCUUUUUUGGCAAGGUGGUGGUGAAAAUGACGAAGUUACCCCUCACAUGGAUCCCAUUGACCUUUAAUCAUUGAGAAGCUAAUCUAAAGAGUAUAUUUUAUUUUUAGAUCGGCAGAUUAGUGAUCUGUGAUUGUCUGAGUAAAUUCAGUAUUUUUAUACUUUGGGGUAACAAUUUAAAUGACGAGAGUACCCUGGAUCGGGUUCAAAAAUUACUUUAGAUAUUUUUAAAAUCCUACCAAAAUAAAUAAUAAUAAAAACAUUGCUUGCUUUCAGUUUUCAACUUGUUGGGGUGUGGGGCUGUGCUUCUCUACAACAGGGCCUACGGAGGGACCUACCCUGAUUGGGACAAAUGGUAGUUUGACAAGAUUUUGCUUUCUUUCUAAUAAUUCCCAUUAUAUUUUAUUAAAAAUUUAAUCAUAAGUAAUAACUAAAAUUAAAUUUUCAAAAAAAAAUUUACACAAUUAAAAAAAAUAUAUUAAUUGUGGGAUCCACGGUGGAUUUAAGCCAGUUAGAUGUAGGUCAAUGUUAUUAGGCCAAGCCAUUUAUGAGUAGAAGUAAAUGGUGGCCAAUUCAGUUGAGUUGUGCCCUACACUAUUAAUUAACUAAAAUAAAAAUAAAUAAAAACCAACGCUCCAGAUCUCAUCAUCAUCUAAACAUUAUUGAAAACUCAACUUAUCACUAUGUUUGAUGGCCAAAAAUAAGGUAAAUUAACCACUACCACGUCUAGUAAUUACCGAGACAAGUGAAAAAAUGAAGGUAAAUAAAAUAGGAUUAUUUCUGGGUCUAUAUUUAACAUUAUUAUAAAUUUAAGGGUUAAAUUUCGUAAUUAAUAUUUUUGAAAGUUUAAGAUUCACCCUACUUUAGCACAAUUGUUACAAAUUUUCCUAUAUAUAUUUAAUUUUCUUAAACUCAUUUUAUGUAGUAUAUUUAAUUUUAAAUUAUUUAGACACUUUAAAAACAAAAAACAGGAAAAAGCUACCAAAUAUAUAUUUUUAUUAUUGUUUAAUAUAAAAGGUUAAAAAUGAUUAAGAGGCUAACAGUUACCAAAUACAAAUUCAUUUGUUUCUUAUUAUUAUUAUAUAGAAGACAAAACAUAAAGAUGAAUAAUAAUAAAAAAAAAAAAAAGAAUGAAAAAGAAAAAACAAAAGGUUUCCACAUGAGCUCUAAGUACAUAAAAUACCAAAAUUACCAAAAUAAUGAGUAUGAUGCAAAUACACUAAAAUUUCAAUACUUUCUUAAAAAAAAAAUAAUAAUAAUUUUAUUAAACAAAUGUUAGUAUAUAAAUUAUGGAGAAUGUGUAGGGAUACAAUUUGGGGGGUAUGACAAGUGUGUAUACCAAUUUAUUUUAUGCAAAAAAAUUAAUCAAUUUGUUAAUUACAAUUUUGUCCCUCUCCUAUAAAUGUAGUUUUAAUUUGAAAAUGACUAUAGCUAUAAUGUGAUAAGGUUGUUGAAAAAUGUUAAGCUUAUUUGUCAAUUUUAUUAUUUUAAGAUUUUCAUUGGUGGUUUUUUUUCCCCUAAAGGUACAGAAAUUGCUUUCAAAUUAGUUUGAGAGAAAUUAUUUUAUUGUGUCUCUUAUCUGUAUAAUAAUAAAAAUAGCCUAUUUACUAAUAAAUAUAUCAAGCUAUUUCUAUGAUUGAUGUUACUAUUAAAAAUGACAGUUACAUUUAAUACAGCAAAAAAAAAAAAAAAAAUUAAACAAAAGAUAUAUUUUACUUAUUCACGUAUUUGUUGAGUGAUAAUUUUAUUUAUCUAAAAAUGAUACUUUUGAUUAUGAUUAGUAUUUGAAUGAUAAGAUUGUAUAACUUUGAUUUCUACAAUUCCAACUUCACAAAAUAAAUAAGUAAACAAACAAUUAAAGUUAAAACACGGUUUUUUAUUUUGAAACUAAUACACGUUGUGUUAUGAAAUUCUCAAGAAUGUGGCAUAAUUAAAAGACUCAAAGUUUAUAUGUAAAGCAGUUUUUUUUUAAUUUUUUAUUUUAAUUUAAACACAAUAACUUAAGGGUCACAAAAUGAAAUUAAUUCCAACAUAUUAUACAGUUUUAGUAACAAUAAAUUGGUAUCAAGGACUAUAAUUUAAGAUUUCUUUUAAAAAAUACAAAUAAUUAAAGUUGCAUAUUUGAAAUAACAGGGACCAAACCAAAUUAGUAAUUUAACUUUUAUUUUUAUCAUCUUUUAACAUAAAGGGUCAAGAACAAAUGAUUUUUUGGUCAACAUCCAUUGAUUUUUCGGACUAUAUUAAUGUUUGAAGGAAAAAAUUACAAACUUUAGAAGAAUCCUGCGAAACCCUAAUCACUUAUUCAACAAAUUUUUGACUCAAUAAAUUACAAAAAAAACAACAAAUAUCUUUAUAUAUAUAUAUAAUAUAGUCCGAAGCUGUCAAACAAAAGAAGUAAACCUUUUAAAAUGAUAAAGCAAAAAAAUGAUUUUUAAUGAAUGGGAUUAUAUAUACACACAUUUACAACCUCUAAACUUUUGGUUUGUGAUAAAUAUUAAUGUCAUUCAAACUAGUUCGUAUUUGUUGGUAGGUUAAAUAUUAAUUAAAUAUACAUGAAGUUGAAGGAUUGCAUGUGUUCUAUUUUUCAUCUCAUAGUAGUGAUGCUUUGAUUUUUCUCCUAUUUAUCCUAUUGAUACACCAAUUUUCUCAUAAAAAACAAAAAUCAAACUCAAAGUUUAAAAUAUAAGAUCUCACCAAAUCUCAAAAGAAAAAAUCUCCCCAUAACCUGCUACUUACCUCAAUCACACGCUUAAUUUCUAAGAUUAAUCGAACGCUUUCGUUGUUCAUUAUAAUCUAUAUGCAAUUAACUGAAAAAUUGAAAAUUUUUAAAUAAAAAAAAUGUCAAUACUGAAUAGUGAAGAAGAUAAGGGAGAAAAAAGAAGUGAAGUAUAGAGAUAGGUGGGUAUAAACAGUUUUUAACAAAUACUCACUAAGGGUGUUUUUUAGAAGAAAAAUUAGCUUAUAAGAGUAUUUUAUCAAUGUUGGAAAGUUGAUGGAUAUUUUUUACCUAAAACACUAUAAGGUUAAGAGUAUUUUAAAAUUUUCUCAAAAUGCAAGAGUAUUAUUGGUGACACAAAAUUAAAGCUCAAAAGUACUUUUUAUAUUUAAAAAAUCAACAAUUUAUAAUAUUCAUCCAAAUCUAAGAGCUCUUUUUUAUUCACGCUAUAAGGUUAGGUUUUACCUAAAAUCUUUGUUAUCCAAUAUAUACACGUGAGCGUACGACAAAAUAUAAAAAUAUUUACGAUUCGUAUAACAAAAAAAAUUUCUAUAAAGUUACCAUUAUUUUUUUAUAAAUUUCAUAUUGAUCUUUGUUAGGUUUUACAAUUUUCGGAACGAGUAUUGAAUUCAUGCACAUAUUUUUUGUAUUAUUACUUCUUCUUCUUCAUAUUCCUACUUUUCUUCUUUGUGAUUUCUUCCUCUCCUAUUCUAGAAUUUCUUUCUUGUUUGUCAUCUCUUAUCUUCUUUUUUUUUUUUUCAUUACACGAUCGUGUGUACCAAAAUCUAAACGAUCAGCUGUUUGUCCCAGAUAGAUAUAGAUAAAUCACUAUCACUAUCUAUUCCAAAUAGAUAGAUAAGUGAUAGAUCAGAUCUAAACAAUCAUUUACCAAGAUCUAAACGCUAUUGUAUCAAAUUUAAGUGAUUGUGUACCAAUUAUAUCUAAAUGGUCUUAGUAAAAAGAUUAUAUACCAAGAUAAUUUAGAUUUAGUACAAGAUCCUAUAUCAAAAAUCAUUUAGAUUUGGUACAAGAUCAUGUAUCAAGGUCAUUGUACCUAUAUUUAAACAAUUAAUCAUCUAUCCCAAAUAAACUAAGAUAGGUCACUAUCACUGUCUAUCCUAGCUAGAUAGAUAAGUGAUAUAUUCAAACAACUAUUUACUAAAAUCUAAACUUCGCGGACGUGCAACCAAUUAAUUGUGGAGUAUUUUUGUUAUUUCACACUGUGCACAUGUAAACUUUUUGUCUUUUCAAAAUUGUUUGAUAGGAUGGUGAAUAUUAUUUCAUUUUUUGCAAAAAAACCCAUUUUAAAUUUAAAAAUGUAAUAGCUAACAACUAACUAAAACAUAGUUAGGUGGUAUUAAAUAUAUGUCUUUUAGUUAAAGUUAAACCAAAAGUUUAAAUUCUAAUUAUAUAAACUAAUCUUCUAUCUUUUCCUAAAUCCAUAGAAUUAACUUUAAAUUUAACCAAAAAGUAUAUAUAAUAUUAUUUUGUAAUAUGAUAUAAUUUAACUUACCAUACAUCAAACAAUCCAUAAUGCAAAGUAAAAUUUAAAAUAAUGACUUUUUGUAUUUCUAAAUAUUUUUAUAAUUAUUUAAUAUAAUUCUACCUUGUAAAAUUCAAAUUUUAGAUAAAUAAAAAUAUAAAAGUAUUAUUUUUAAAAUUUGUUCUAUUUAAAUUACAUAAUCUGAUAACAGUUUUUUCUAUAAAAAAAUCUAUCCUCUCAAACUUAUAUUUGUUAAACUUUAUCAAACAAACACUUCAAAAGUUUAGUCGUGAGAUCAAUUAAGAAUCAAAUAAAAUAUUACAUAAAUUUUAGAUUUUAUUAAAUUACUUUGAACUCUAUAAAGUUAGCUUCUAUUAUAUGUUAGUACUUUUAAGUGAAAUUUGGAUAUAGUUUGGUUUAUAAUAGUUUUUCUUAAUAUAAAUUAUUUUAGUUUAAAUUAUAAUAGUAUGUAUUUAAAUUAUUUUAAUUUAAAAGAAUAGGUAGUAAAUACUACAAUAAAAAAUAAAAAAUAAAAAAUGAUAAAUAUAUAAUAGUAAAAUAGUAAAAAUUAAAAUAAAUUGAAAUAAUAUCAAUUUUAGUUAAAUUAGAUAAUACAAAAUAAUACUUACCAUAGUAAAAGAUAGUUAUUAGAGUAUGUUAUUAGGAAUUAAAUUAAGUUUAAUUAUUUUAACACACAAACUUUGAAGUUUUUUUUUUUUUUUCGAAACAAUAUUUCUAUACUCUCUUGCCAACUAAAAAUUUCUCAAACAUAGAAAGAUUUCAGAUUUUAUGUUGUUAUUCACAUUUAAAUAAACAAAUUUUUGUCGUCAUUAUUAUACCUAGUAAUAGAGGUUAAGUACAAAAUAGUUUGAAAAUCAUUAAUUAUUUAACUGUUUGUAUAUGUAUUUUUCACCCUCUAUUUCUUUAUUUCUUAAAAAAUAUUUUAAUACUAUUAUUACUAUGUUACGCAGCAACAUAGUAAUUUUUACUUCUUAUUUAUUUUAUUUAUUUUUUGUCUUUUAAAUUCUUUACAAUUCCUUUAAUUAUGUUUUUAAAAAUUAAAUUAAUCUUUGUACAAAAAUUUUACGUUUAACGAUUCUUUGAGUUGUGAAUGAACAUUUAAGACACCUGUAAUGAUCUAGUUUCUUAUUCGAGAAAUUGUAUCAGAUGAUAAAAAAAGAUGAAAAAAAUAGUCCAUAACACAUUUUCGUGCAUAGAGUAAAUAUGACCAAUAUGAAAAAUGAUUAGAUAUAUCAAAGGGUUUUAUUAUCAUAAAGUUUUUGCUACUAUUGCUAUUUUUGCAAACACCCCUUCCUAUCUAUCUUAUCGCUUGUGUGUAAUUUCAUCUAUAAUGAUAAUAACAUAUGAUAAAAGAAAAUGUUGGUUAAAUGUAUUUUUUUUUAGUCAGUACUUUUUACUUAUCAAUCAAUCAAUGUAUUGUUAAAUAAAAAUAGAAAAAAGAUAGGUUAAUUUUCAUAAACAUAACAAACUGUUAAAAUAUUUAGGGCUCGUGUAACAAAAUGUAUAAAUCCAUGAAACUCGCCAUUUUUUUAAAUAUUUCAGUUUUUCCUUCCUUUUCAUCGCCUUUUUUCUUUAUUUUCUAUGAUUUUUUUCUUUCCAUCGUCUUUUUCUCUUCUACCGUUUUUUCUUUUAUUUUCCCAACUGUUAUUUAGUUCAAAAUUAUGUAUUAAAUAUAAAAGAUCCAUUUUUUAUAUUUUUUUCAAACUAUAAUUAUAUGAUUGUUCCAAAUAUAAACGAUCGUUGAAAAAAAAUCGUUGGGAUAUUAUGUAGCCAAGUCUAAACGAUCGUGUACCAAAAAUAGCCAAAUUUAAACGAUAUGUGUAGAAAGAAUCUUAAAAAAAUCGUUUAGAUUUAGGUAGUUAUAUUGUUCCAAAUAUAAAUAAUUGUAUAUCAAAUAUAAACUAUCGUUUUUCAAAUAUAAAUGAUCGUUUUUCGAAUACGACAAGUACCAAAAAAAUGUUGAAAAGAAAUUGUUGAAAUUUGUUUAGUUUAUGUCACAUGCCUAUCAUAUUGCGUUAUUUGGAUUUUGUAGUAGCACGAUCUUCAACUACAACCUCCUCAACUCUAUUUAUCAAUAUAAAAUAAGAUCAAUGUGAUUGAAGUAUAUAAGUUCGUUCCCUCGGUAUAAAAAUGGUGGAAUUAUAUUUAGUUGAUAAAUGAAAAAAAUAUAUAUUAUGCCAUCCAUCAUUUCAUUAUUUUAAUUGAGAGAAAAAAAACAUUAGGAAAGUUCAAGAACACCAUUUGAAAAAUAUAUUAAUGAAUUGUAUAAUUGAAGGAAAAAAAUUAUAUUAAAAGUUAGAAUAAAUUAAUUGGGUGAAUACAAUUAAUGAGUUAAAAAACAAGUGGAUUGGACAUAACAAUAAUGCAAGUUAAGAGGUGGGACCAAAAUUGAAAUAGAAGUAGCUAUAUAGGCCAAUUUAAUGCAAAAAUCAUCAAACACCCAACUUCUAUGUGGAACUAUAUAUGUCUAUAAUCUCAUUAUUAGGUUCACAAAAACUAAAAGUUCCAAAACAACAUGAACGUUUUGUAUUGGAUGUUUUAGGUCAACAAAAGUCUUAAAAAGAAUAAUAUUAACCUUAAUUGAUUGUCCUUUUAAGGGCUUUGGUCUCUUUUCUUUUUCUUUUUCUUCAUCAUCAUUCUUUCUAAUCUUACAAACUUUUUUCUUCAAAAUCAUUUUAGAAGAAACGCUGCCAUUAAUCAUAACAUACAUGACUUCAUUUUACAACUUCCUAGAUAUCUUAGAGGACGUGGGAUGUAGUAUCGAGGGUAAUAACAAAUUUGUAUUUACAAACCUUUUCUUUUCCAUUAUUUUGUUUUACACGGUUGAAAAGUCAAAAGGAUUCAACCUAAUUAAAUUAUUAGUGAGCAAACUUACACUUUGCUGAUUUUAAAAACUUAAACGAGCCUUAUGCAUAUUUUUUAUUGUUUUGCAAUGAAGCAGUGCAAAUUCUAUAGGCAAAAUUUUCUUAAAAUGUUUUUCUUGCAUCUAGGAUUGGAAUUAAAACUUCAAAUGCAUAAUUAUGUUAAAUAAAGACAAAUAAUGCAAUAUAUUAUGUUAUAUACUCAAUUAAAAUUAAAAGAUAUAGAUAUAAAUCAUUUCAUUUUUAAAAUUGAAAACAAAAGUGUCAUGAAACCACUUAAUCAUUUCAUUUUUCAUUUUGAGUAAAUUAAACUUAUGCUUGGAAGGAGUAAAAUCAAAGAAGUUGGUAACAAAAGGGAUCGAUAAAUUUUUGUAGAUUUAUGAUAGGUUAAAAAUUAAAAAAAAGUGCUAGACAUUCAUCAUGACACUAUAUGUGUGCAUAUUGAUAUUAUUUUGGACCUAUUUUUCUUACAAAAAUCAAACCUCACCUAUAAUAGUCUAUUUGCAUUACUUUCCUUCUAUAUAAAUUUUUUUCAUAUCCUCAUUAUAUGUAUGGCAAUUGAAUGAAAUGGACAAUUGAGUUGAGGGAAAUUCAACAUCUCAUGUCAAUAAACUAGAAACAAACCAAGACUUCUAUAAAUGACCCCAAGUUUGAGGCCAUACAAAAGUUUUAUGGAAAAUUGCACAGGAUUACAUUUUAAGAAU